rnacentral:lncRNA from 1 species
CUGGUGUCAGUUUCACAGAGAGAGCACCAAUGUUCUGGUUAAAAUUCUCAAUCUUGGUGGUUCCGGGUAUCGGACACACAUCGUUUCCUUGAUGAUGAACCCAGGCCAGUGCUAGCUGAGAUGGGGUGCACCCUUUCCUUGCAGCAAGAUCACUAACCCGCUCGAAUAGUGCUUUAUUAUGCUCUACGUUUUCGGGUUGGAACCUGGGGUGAUCCUGCAACCAUUGAACUAAAGAAUUCAGAAUCAAGACUAAGUUUGCUUCAUCAAAAUGACAUGACCAAGAUGUACAACAAUCCAAUGGACAGAAAUAAGCAUGACCAGAAAACUACAGUGAACUCUCUAGGAAAUCAGGAGAAGCUCAUGGUCAACCUUUCUUGCCAAUUUAUUUCUUCAAAUUAUAGUCAACCAUUAGAGAAACCGAAAGGCCUAAAUGAAAAAUGGGAGUGUGGAACUCUGCCACAAAACAUUAUAAAAUAAAGAAUAUUGAAGCAAAAUAGAACGUUAGUGGGCUCUGACUGUCUGGAUGAAUGACAGCUACUUAGGUACUAACGUUAUCGAAAGAAAUUUUGUUCACUACCCAAGUUUUUGAUGGAGAGAAGACUACUGAGAAAACUCAGUAAGAGGAUACUAGGCGAGACUACUAAGCUUUGCGAGAUGAAUUAUCAAAUUGAGAUCUUGCAGGGGAGAUGGAAGUUCAGGAAAUACACAAUAAUAGCAUCAUGAUGAUACCAAGAAAAUUUUAUCUCGCAGUUUGGUAAUUUAAAAUCGAAAAAAUUUGUGAAAUACCAACAAACCUUUCGAGAAUCAUCAUGGGAGAGGUUUUCGACGAACUUAGCGCCUGAUGAAAAGAAUCCUCUCCCUAGAGGACUGUAGGCAACAAUACCAAUGCCAAGUUCCCUGAGAAAUUUAGGCAAGUGUGAUAAAUUAUAACGAAUUUGGUACCUACUUGUUAUUUACAAAUAAAAUAGUUAUAUCAUUUCAAUAAAGCCUCACCGGCAAGUAGGAACUAUUUCUGCCUCGACAUCUCUUGACCACAAGGACCACUCCAACUGCACAGCUGUUAUUGGAUGAACAGCAUGUGCUCUUCUUAUUGUAGAAGCGGAGGCCUCAGAUAGGCCAAUGUACUUCACCUUACCCUCUUCAACUAGUUUCUUCAAUUCCCCUGCCUUGCAAAAGAUAUAAUGAAGGAAUUUAAGGAAUCAAAAGAAAACGCUCAAAAUAACUUAUUCAUGAUAAUCAAUACUGCAUUUUAUGAUACUCUAGAGCAAGUCCCAAAAAAAGGAUGCAAUCACAUUGAGAUAUGAACUAAACUUUAAAAAAUUACAACUAAUUUGCCAUCACAAACAAGGGGUUCCUGUUAUAUGAGAAAUGAGGUCAAACCAUGGCUUCCGCAAGGUAAACCACAAAUGAAAUCAAAUUGAGGAAUUGAUAAAACAUGUGACUAAAAAUGAUACAAGAUGUUGUAAAAUCUUCGGAUAAACAUGACUUUACUAGGCCUGCAGAUGCAUAUUGCUCUGUAAUUGCUAUUAAAGGAGAUCAAAUCUCAAAGAGGGAAGAAGACAAACCGUGACUUCUAUGGGUACAGUGGUGUCAAUCCGAUGCUGAUAAUAGAGAUCUACAGAAUCAACACCAAGGCGCUUCAAGCUAUCCUCAGCAGCAGCCCUCACAUAGGCAGGGUCACCUCGCACCGCCCUCUUCUUGUCUGCUAAGUAGAUGCCAAACUUGGUGGCCAAUUCAACCUUCUCUCUUACCCCUCCCUUCAGAGCCUGUUCCUCAUCAAUCCAACAAAAUCUAGUUCACUUCAUCAUCAUCAAUCGCAAUUAAUUGAAAAAUCUAAACAAAACCCAAAAAAGCAAAUCCAUUUAUCAUUGUCUCUCUCAAUGCUUGUGCUUGGCUGGCUUAGUAUCUUAAAUACAGGAACCAGAGUGAACACAACCCAAUUCACUUCUUCACUAAUUCAUCCCAUUCAACAAUACAAACAAAACCCACAAAGCAAUUGUACAAAUUAUUGUCUCUCUCAGUGCUUGUGCUUGAUUUAGUAACUUAAAUACAGGAACAAGACUGAACCAAACCAAACCCAAUUCAUUUUAUCAUCAACUCAUCCAAUUUAACAGCCCAAACAAACCCAAAAAGCAAUUGAUACAAAUUAUGAGCAAAUAUUAAGAAGCAAAGUCAAGGUUAGUGGCGUACCUUGCCAAGCAUAAUUUCGUUGGUGAAGGGGCCGUAGAAGUCAGAGGUGUCGAGGAAGGUGACGCCGGAGUAAAUGGCAUGGUGGAUGAGACUGAUCAUGUCUGCGUCGGGCUUUGGAGCGUCAUAGAAGCCAGACAUGCCCAUACAUCCCAGGCCUUGAGCAGAGACCUCAAGGCCUUGUGAACCCAACUUGAUUCUCCUCACUCCUCCUGCCAUUUGCUAUCUGUGGUUGUUUCAGUUUGGUUCGUAUUUUUAUAUCUGCAGAAAGUGAAAACUAAGACUUCAAACGAGCUGACCAAUGAGAAACAAUUCAAACGUGCCAGCGCCAGAUCAUGCAUCCACUGAGGUGCAGCAAGCGUCAUGGCUGAUGCGGAAGCCAUUGCAACUGUUGCUUGUCUUUUGAACAAGCCACCGUUCGGUAUUCGCUCUCUCCCUUCCAUCCGGCAAAAAGACAUAUAUUUGUAUUAUUUAAUUUUAAAAGGAAUGCAUUUUUUAAAUAAUUUGUAGACCAAAUUACCCCUUUACAAUUAACAGAAAUUAAAAAAAUGUGACAAAAGUGGUAAAAGUUGCAAAAUACGAGACCAAAAGUGACUUUGCCAUAAAAGAUUAAAUAAAUAAAUGAAAAGGAGAUAGAAAAUAUAACAAAAACAAAAUUUCCUCUUUAUCAUCUUAUCUGUUCGACAGCCACUAACCCCACCUACUCCAUCCCUCCCCUCUCUCCGACAGCCAGUAAUGCAACCCCAUCAAUUGAAUCAAGGGAAAUAGCUCAAAAUACCACCCAUUUUAUAAUUUUUUGUCAAAAUACCAACUCUCCCCAAAAAUUUUUAAAAUUACCACCUAUAAAUACAUCUUUAUUGUAAACUGAUUGCACCCAUAUCACAUUUUCAGAAAUUGGGUUCUCUCUCAACUCUCUUGCCUCUGUCUCUCUCUUCAGCCCGUCUGUCUCUCUCUUCAGCCCGUCUGUCUCUGUCGCUGAGCUCUCUCUCUCUCUGACGCAAUCGUCUUUCUCCCUCAGCGGUGGCUGUUCAUCUCAGCUUAACUCCACCAUUGACAUCCACGAGGUACUGUUCAUCUAACCCUCACCCAUCUGGAAACAACAGGCACACUCGGUCACCUUCAUUCAUCACUCCGAAACGACGGCGUAUCACAGCUCAUUCUCAUGAUGCCGUACUUAAACUCCAGACCAUCUCCUUCCUCCUCCCUCCUCCAUCCUCCAUCCUCCUCCUCCUCCUUCUUCUUCCAUCUCCGCCAGUGCUGGUUCCCCAGUUUGAUAGAUUGAACAAGUGUACAAGGAAAUCGGAUUUCUUCCAUGGUAGCGUGCCGCCGAUAACUUUGCAAGUAAAGUAAUCAACUUUAUUUAUGCUUUUUUUCUCCAUGUUGCAGUAAUGACGUCGUAAUUGAAUCGAUUCUGUUAUGAUUUUGGUUAACUUAUCUGAGGCUUUUGAUUUACAAAACCAAUGCCCUAAAUGUUGCAGCUGCUGAUGUGAAAACAUAUUUGUUGACUGCUAUUAGUGGAGGCUUAAACCAGCAAAGAAGAGGUGUGAGUUUCUUGAUUGAGCUGUAGAUGCUUAUUAAUCCAGUAGACGCCCAUCUUAGUUUUCUUCCAUUUGAGGCCUAACUUAUCGUUCUAAUAUCUUCAUUUAAGGCUUAAAGUACAUUGUGGUUAUGCAUUCAGAUUCCAAAUGGCUUCUUUAUUAGUCUAAUUUUGAUUUGUUAUUUCGUUUAGGCAUCUGGUUAUAAGUAGAUCAUGUAUAGGACUUGUUGAUAGGACUUUGUAACUUUUCAUUCCAUGAGUGAUAAGACUGGUUUGUAAUCAUGCAUGUUUUUUCUGCUGAUUCAGCAUCUUGUGCUUCUUUCUUGAUUCUGUUACAGAUAACUGAUGCUCUUGUUGCAGCUUAUAUCUUGAAUGCUACUCUUCUUGUUCUCAAGCUGGGCCAUAAAUUAUUUUGGAAGGAUUCCAGGUCAUUUUCACCAUAUCACAGAUACAAAACUACUGUGAAGGUCCAUGUAAGCAAAACUGUCUGUGGAUUAAUAUUCUUAUUCGGGUAUUUGGUGCAGCAACUUUGAUGAAAUCUUUGAUGUAGACUGGUUUAUAUCAUCUCUAUCAAAAGAUGUUGAAAUCAUUCAACAACUUCCAACAAAGGGAGGAAUACCAAUGAGUCCAUAUAGCAUGCGUGUCCCAAGGAAGGGCAAUGCAAAAUGCUACCAGAAUCGUUUAGUGCAUGUUCUUAAAAAAAAUAUUUGUAAAGUGUCUUUCAGGAGAACCUACCACAUUUUUGUAAAAGAAUUUUGUUAAUUUAUAUCAUUAUGCUGGUGCAUAUAACCGAGGAAGAAAAAUUUUCCAGUGCUUGAAUUGAGUGCCUUUUUCGGAAUAUAUAGAAUUUACAGUUUGUUUGGUUAUUGUCUUUCUAAUGUACAGCCUGGUUCAGCUUCACCAAAGUUUGGAUUACAGCUUUCAAAUAAAUUCUAAUCAAAUUUAUAAAAACUUAGUGUAGAGCAAAUUAUCAUGCCUCAAAGUUUAAUGACCUUAUUAAUGAAAUGGGGAAAACGUUGGUUGACAGAAUGAGGAUGAAAAGCAAGCAUUUCAUUGCCCUGCAUUUCAGGUAAAUUGCAAAUAAAUAAAAAAUUACCUGCUUGAGUAUUUUUUUUUUUUUUCCCAAAAGAUACAUCUGUUAGGUACUCACUAUAACCCAAGUUUCUUGAUGUUCCUAUCUUAUGGUUCUGUGUUUAAAAUCUUAAUGCAAUUGGCAUUUGAUUUAUGAGAAACGUGCGCAGAGCUAAAAUAAGAAAGAAACUCUAGGCUAUUAAAUUUCUUCUAAUGAACAAGAUUAAUGCAAAUGCUUUUUGUACUUCUGUUUUAUGUUCGAUUUGUAUAAUCAUAAACUUAUCGGUAUUCAUAUUGUUUGCUUCAAUAACUUUUGGCUCUUUAUUGAAGUCGGAAUGUGUUCUGUAUAUUAACCAGGAAAGUUAUUGAAUAUUCGACUAAUGUUUAUUAUACUUAAUAUCAUGUUCAUAUUGUAUGGAAAUAUUAUCGAACGUGUUACUGCAUUAUUUUUCUUAGUAGAAAACUUGCUUCUUGAAAGGUUUGAUUUCGUGGGUGAUUAGGCUUGUCGCUUUCAAUCUUGGCUAUCUUCCUGGGGGUGACAAAACAAUUAUCACAGAGUCAGAAACAACACUGAAGGCAUUGGAAGUUGCAAAAAGUGUCGUGGUGCCUAGAGGUCUUAUCAGUUUAAUGGUUUAUGUGGGGCAUCUUUGUGGAUGGUAACAAUUCUGUUCUCAAAUUUUAUUUUUAUUCACUCUGUAUGCUAGUUUGUGCUCCCUGGUUUUUAUUAUGUUCAUUAUGCAGGUUGAGCAAAACCUAUAACAAUGGCUUGAGUAAUUUUCGUUUAAGAUACUAGAAUAAAUAAAUAGAUAAAGUUGGAUAGUUAGGCCAAUAUAAGCUCAAUUAAUUUCCUCCCAAACUACGCCUGAAAUAUUUUGCUUGUUAUUAUUAACACAGGAAUAGUUCUUUUGUAGUUAAAAACAAUGAGUAUGUUAUAGCAUGGGAAAAUUAUUUUGCCCUAUUUAAUUUGAGUGUUUAGUGGGAGCAUGACUUCUAAGGAACUUCUUGUGCAAUGAAAGCAACAGUUGGAAGCUUGCCUUUUCAAUCAACCCCCUUUUAUUUUAUUUUAUAAAGUCUGGUAGAUGAAGCCAUCAUUUAUGCUUCCCCUUCAGAUUGGUUUGGAAUUGGAUUAAGAUAUACGUGGUUAGUUUUAGGUACUAGAGGAAUGGGAUAGGUUGUUUGGAUUUUACGUUCUGGUCUUGUUCUGAGAGGAGAGACGGGGAAGGGGAGAAGGAGAGUGAGAUUGGAAGUCUUCUGUGACUAGUAAAUUGGAAGUCUCGAACUCUUGUUAAGUUUGUGCAUUUUCAGAAUGAAGAAUAAUAUAUUUUUAGGCUCAAAACAAAUAACGUGGAUUGAAUUCUAGGACACCGAUGCUAUUGUAGAUCAUAAUAGAAGCUUUCUGCUCAUGUUCCAGUCAGAAAAACAGAAGUGCAGUAUCCAAGAUUGUGCUUGAUUCAUGAAAUUGUUAUUAAUAUUGAUUUAUGACAUUGGUGAUUGAGUUGGAGAUUUCCAAAUUGGACAAUUCUUAUUGCUUCGCUGAUAUGGAUCCAAUAUGCUUUGUUUUGGCAAAAAAGGUCCUACUUAUUGUACAUUAUUUGUUCUUUUAGACUUGAUACAUAUAAGUUUAGUUUUGUCAUAUGCUCCUGGCUUGCUUGUUCUAACUGUGGGCACACAUAAGGCGAAAAACUUUACACGUAAGGCUUCACUGAUGUCUUGAAUGAUGUCAUUCAAUAGUGACCUGUUUUAUAUAAUUUGUAUCUAUGCCUUAUAACUACAUUUGAUAUUUGGGGUUAUAUUGCAUGCAAGCAAGCAACCUUGACAAGGUACGAGUGAAUAUAAAUCAUUCUCAGGGUAAAGUGCUACCUAGUGUAAGAGUUUCAGAUCUAGGUCUUCUACUUAAACGUGAUUAACCAAAUUUGGUACGAACUACAUCUUUGAAUCCCUGAUUGCAUCUUUGAGGCCAAAGCAGAAAAAAUGCUAAACUACAUACAGUUUAAAAUAUAAAAUAAAAAAGUCGAGGCUUUAUGAAUUAGUUGACUAUUCUUUUAAUUAAUUUUAUACUUUUAUACUUUUUGUGAAGUCUUUUUCUCUUUUUUUUUUUCAAAGUUCCCCUAACUUGGCACAGAUGCAUGUAUGCACGUGUGUACUCAGAACACAAACUCCUUUAUAACUCAAAAGAACGGUCGCAAACUCCUUACCGUAUUGCAAGGGCUGAAAUCUGGAUGAUAUCAGCUUCUUUUUAUUGUUGUUUUAAAGUGAGGUAUGUAUGGGUCUUAUGAAAUUUUUACAGAAAUAUAUUGGAGGGCAAAUAAUUUUAUUUUAGUUUUUUAUUCCCAAAUGAUACCCAAAACAUGUAAGCUUCACACUAUGUUAAUUUCUGCAGGAUGGGAAAACAUUGGACAAUGAGUUGGAGGUUGUUGAGGGAAUGAAGCUAUACAGGGGCUACAUAUCCCCUUAUUUCAUCACCAACCAGAACAAUCAGAAAUCUGUAAGUUUUAGUUUGACUCAGCGAUAACUAUGUCUUGAAACUGUUAGAGGGCUGCUUGUUAAAGUUAGCAGCACCUCAAGUCCCUUUUUGCUUGAUGCUGAUUAUCUUCAAACUUGUGUAUGUGCUGAUAGAAAUUGGAAAAUCCUCUAAUCAUAAUCCAUGAGAAGAAAAUCUUAAGUAUUAAUGAUGUGGUUAAAGUAUUGGAGUUGGUUUUGCAGGUUAGCAUUUCUCUGGUUAGGUUCACUAGUUUCUUCGUUUUUACUAUGAAUUGGUUGACAAACUUUUGCUCCUUUUCAGAAGCAAAGGUCUUUGCAUUUUGUUAUAUAUUUCAGAACCGAAGUUAUAAAAGAAAAUGGUUUUCCUCUUUGCUAAUUGAGAAUCAUCUGCAGUUAUGAUUUCAGAUCUAUAGAUAACCUGUUGUUGCUGAUAUUGCUACACGGGAGGAGAAUAGAACAGCUUGGAAAAUGUGCAAGAAGGGAGAGCUAACUCAUACAACGAAGAACAAAUUGAUGAAGUUAAGAUCAAAUUAGUAGAAUUUGUGAGCUCUCCAUUAUUUAUAAUUAUAGGUAGGAAGUAUGUAUGUAAUAGAGCAAAGAUUGGUUGACUAUGUAAUAACAAUUGAAUUGUCAAGUUUUAUGAAAGAAAUAAUUUUCGCUUCUCGGGAUAGUAUUGUUAGGGUUCGGUGGCAAUUUAUUUUUCAUGUCUAAAUUGUAGUAUGUAAUGGAUGUGUGUGUAUUGUAUGUAGAUUGACUUAAUAUUGCUGUCCUAUUGAUGUGUAUUGUACUAAUAUUGCCUGUGUAUUGUAUACAUAUUGUAUGCAUAUUGCCAUCGUAUUGCAUGUAUAUUGUGAUGUUAUUGCUGUCAUAUUGCCAUUAUAUUGCCCUAAUAUUGCCUCUCUAGUGUAUGUAUAUUGACUACGGCUCAUCAAUGGGUUUACGGUUUGGGCCAUACUUCAUUCAAAAAGAAGACGAUGAGGAGAAAGAAACAACGUGCCUUUCAAAAACAAGCAGUCAGGUGCAUCAUAAUUGCAUCGUAAGACAUUGUAAGAAAUUAUUUUAAAAAAUAAUAACAACUAAAAAAUAAUUUACAAAAAAAGGAAGGUAUGAAUAAAGAGACAGAGAGCGAAUAAGGGGAGAAGAAGACAGAACGAAGCUAGAGAGAGACCCGGAGAGAGAGCUGCGCUAUAGAAAGAGAGCAAAGAGAGAGACAGAGAGUUGCACUAGAGAGAGAGACAGAGAGAGAGAGAGCCAAGAGAGAGACAGAGAGCUACGAUAGACAGAUACCAAAGAGAGAGAGAGAUGUGCCACAGAGAGAGCCGAGUGAGCUAAGAGAGAACAAAAUUUUUGAACAUGUGAAAAAUCAGCAAUAAGUGGACAAUAAUUAUAUUUUUAUAGGUGAUAUUGUAAUACUAUUGCUAUCAUAUUGUGGUUAUAUUGCUUUAAUAUUGCCUCUAUAGUGUACAUGUAUUGGCCUAAUAUUGCUAUUAUAUCGUAUGUCAAUGGCCAUUUGGUCUAAUAACAGAGUCUCCACUUCGUUGAAAGUAAUCCUGAAUUCAAAUAUCAUGGACACGACAAUUGUUAUCCAUCCUUAUAUUAGCAUGAAUUGAUGUUGACCUUUGAAAUGAUAGUUGGACUUGCACAUCGAUUCAUAUUCAAAAGGAAAGUAUUCUCUCCCUCAAUGAAUCUUCGUUCAAAAGAAGGCAGCUAUCAAAUAUUGGGUACAAAAAUGCAAGAUCCACAGUAAAUUAAUUGGGCACAAACCACAUAUUACAAAAUCAGGAUGAUUUUUGGCAUGCUUGAAAAGACAAGGGCCAAAUACAACAGAAAAGAAAAUCCAUUCAAGCUUCUCACUAAACAUGGCUCAAGCACUCGACCAUGGUUUCAAUCCAAACCUACCCAACAAAGGCAUACCACGUGUCCAUCGUAACAGAAGAGUGGCAUUUACAAAGCAUGAACUGCAAUAUAUUUCUUUUUCUCCUAAACAAAAUUGUUACUAAAAUGGAACAAAAGAUCCCUAACAUAGAGCAAUACAAGCAAAGAUAGUCAAUUGUCAUACACACAAAAUUAGUCCUCAUCCAUCCCUGCAUGCUGAUCUUUCUUACUAGGGCCACCUACUGGUUUUGCCAUUAUAAUCUGCAAGAUAGUCAAAGCACUGUCAACAACCUUUUUUUAAUGAAGGUAUUAAACAUUAAAUAGGCUGCAAUCAGAUGGAUUCAUCAUUUCUCACACAUUUUUAGCUAGCCAGAAAACCCCCAGCAUAUAGAUUUUCUAUUUACUAUCAAGCCUUCUGCACUGAAGUCAUAUUCAUUAUAAAAGUUCAACAUUUCCCAAAAGUAACUUUCAAUUUUAUUUUAUUUUUCCAAGUUAAAAACUAACAUUUGCAACCGUUCUUUUGAGUUACAAAGGAGUUUGUGUUCUGAGUACACACGUGCAUACAUGCAUCUGUGCCAAGUUAGGGGAACUUUGAAAAAAAGAAGAGAAAAAGACUUCACAAAAAGUAUAAAAGUAUAAAAUUAAAUAAAUAAAUAAAAAGAAUAGUCAAGUAAUUCAUAAAGCCUCGACUUUUUAUUAUUAUUAUUUUUUAAACUGUAUGUAGUUUAGCAUUUUUUCUGCUUUAGCCUCAAAGAUGCAAUCAGGGAUUCAAAGAUGUAGUUCAUACCAAAUUUGGUUCGUCAGGUUUAAGUAGAAGACCUGGAUCUGAAACUCUUACACUAGGCAGCACUUUACCCUGAGAAUGAUUUAUAUUCACUUCGUACCUUGUCAGGGUUGCUUGCCUGCAUGCAAUAUAACCCCAAAUAUCAAAUGUAGUUAUAAAGCAGAGAUACGAAUUAUAUAAAACAUGUCACUAUUGAAUGACAUCAUUCAAGACAUCGUGUAAAGUUUUCCGCCUUAUGUGUGCCCACAGUUAGAACAAGCAAGCCAGGAGCAUAUGACAAAACUAAACUUAUACGUAUCAAGUCUAAAAGAACAAAUAAUGUACAUUAAGUAGGACCCUUUUUGCCAAAACAAAGCAUAUUGGAUCCAUAUCAACAAAGCAAUAAGAAUUGUCCAAUUGGGAAAUCUCCAACUCAAUCACCAAUGUCAUAAAUCAAUAUUAAUAACAAUUUCACGAAUCAAGCACAAUCUUGGAUACUGCACUUCUAUUUCCCUGACUGGAACAUGAGCAAAAAGCUUCUAUUAUGAUCUACAAUAGCAUCGGUGUCCUAGAAUUCAAUCCACGUUAUUUGUUUUGAGCCUAAAAACAGAUUAUUCUUCAUUCUGAAAAUGCACAAACUUAACAAGAGUCCGAGACUGCCAAUUUACUAGUCACAGAAGACUUCCAAUCUCACUCUCCUUCUCCCCUUCCCCCUCUCUCCUUUCAGAGCAAGACCAGAACGUAAAAUCCAAAUAGCCUAUCCCACUCCUCUAGUACCUAAAACUAACCACGUAUAUCUUAAUCCAAUUCCAAACCAAUCUGAAGGGGAAGCAUAAAUGAUGGCUUCAUCUACCAGACUUUAUAAAAUAAAAUAAAAAGGGGUUGAAUGAAAAGGCAAGCUUCCAACUGUUGCUUUAAUUGCACAAGAAGUUCCUUAGAAGUCAUGCUCCCACUAAACACUCAAAUUAAAUAGGGCAAAACAAUUUUCCCAUGCUAUAACAUACUCAUUGUUUUUAGCUACAAAGGAACUAUUCCUUUGUUAAUAAUAAGAAGCAAAAUAUUUCAGGCGUAGUUUGGGAGGAACUUAAUUGAGCUUAUAGUGGCCUAACUAUCCAACUUUAUCUAUUUAUUUAUUCUAGUAUCUUAAACAAAAAUUACUCAAGCCAUUGUUAUAGGUUUUGCUCAACCUGCAUAAUGAACAUAAUAAAAACCAGGGAGCACAAACUAGCAUACAGAGUGAAUAAAAAUAAAAUUUGAGAACAGAACUGUUACCAUCCACCAGGAUGCCCCACAUAAACCAAGACCUCCAGGCACCACGAUACUUUUUGCAACUUCUAAUGCCUUCUUCAGUGUUGUUUCUGACUCUGAUAAUUGUUUUGUCACCCCCAGGAAGAUAGCCAAGAUUGAAAGCGACAAGCCUAAUCACCCGCGAAAUCAAACCUUUCAGGAAGCAAGUUUUCUACUAAGAAAAAUAAUGCAGUAACACGUUCGAUAAUAUUUCCAUACAAUAUGAACAUGGUAUUAAGUAUAAUAACAUUAGUCGAAUAUUCAAUAACUUUCCUGGUUAAUAUACAGAACACAUUCCGACUUCAAUAAAGACCCAAAAGUUAUUGAAGCAAACAAUAUGAAUACCGAUAAGUUUAUGAUUAUACAAAUCGAACAUAAAACAGACGUAGAAAAAGCAUUUGCAUUAAUCUUGGCCAUUAGAAGAAAUUUAAUAGCCUUGAGUUUCUUUCUUAUUUUAGCUCUGCGCACGUUUCGCAUAAAUCAAAUGCCAAUUGCAUUAAGAUUUUAAACACAGAACCAUAAGAUAGGAACAUCAAGAAACUUGGGUUAUAGUGAGUACCUAACAGAUGUAUCUUUUGGGAAAAAAAAAAUACUCAAGCAGAUAAUUUUUUAUUUAUUUGCAAUUUACCUCAAAUGCAGGGCAAUGAAAUGCUUGCUUUUCAUCCUCAUUCGGUCAACCAACGUUUUCCCCAUUUCAUUAAUAAGGUCAUUAAACUUCAAGGCAUGAUAAUUUGCUCUACACCUAAGUUUUUAUAAAUUUGAAUCCAAUUUAUUUGAAAGCCUGUAAUCAAACUUUGUGAGCUGAACACCCUUCACAUUAGAAAGCAUAACAAACAACUGUAAAUUCUAUAUAUCCCAAAAGGCACUCAUUCAAGACUGGAAAUUUUUCUUCCUCGGUUAUAUACACCAGCAUAUGAUAAUUAACAAAUUCUUUACAAAAAUGUGGUAGGUUCUCCUGAAAGACAAUAUUUUUUAUUAAGAACAGGCACUAAACGAUUCUGGUAGCAUUUUGCAUUGCCCUUCCUUGGGACACGCAUGCUAUAUGGACUCAUUGAUUUUCCUCCCUUUGUUGGAAGCUGUUUAAUGAUUUCAACAUCUUUUGAUAGAGAUGAUAUAAACCAGUCUACAUCAAAGAUUUCAUCAAAGUUGCUGCACCAAAUACCCGAAUAAGAAUAUUAAUCCACAGACAGUUUUUCUUACAUGGACCUUCAUAGUAGUUUUGUAUCUGUGAUAUGGUGAAAAUGACCUGGAAUCCUUCCAAAAUAAUUUCUGGCCCAGCUUGAGAACAAGAAGAGUAGCAUUCAAGAUAUAAGCUGCAACAAGAGCAUCAGUUAUCUGUAACAGAAUCAAGAAAGAAGCACAAGAUGCUGAAUCAGCAGAAAAAACGUGCAUGAUAACAAACCAGUCUUAUCACUCAUGGAAUGAAAAAGUUACAAAGUCCUAUCAACAAGUCCUAUACAUGAUCUACUUAUAACCAGAUGCCUAAACUAAAUAACAAAUCAAAAUUAGACUAAUAAAGAAGCCAUUUGGAAUCUGAAUGCAUAACCACAAUGUACUUUAAGCCUUAAAUGAAGAUAUUAGAACGAUAAGUUAGGCCUCAAAUGGAAGAAAACUAAGAUGGGUGUCUACUGGAUUAAUAUGCAGCUACAACUCAAUCAAGAAACUCACCUCUCUUCUUUGCUGGUUUAAGCCUCCACUAAUAGCAGUCAACAAAUAUGUUUUCACAUCAGCAGCUGCAACAUUUAGGACAUUGGUUUUGUAAAUCAAAAGCCUCAGAUAAGUUAACCAAAAUCAUAACAGAAUCGAUUCAAUUACGACGUCAUUACUGCAACCAUGGAGGAAAAAACCAUAAAUAAAGUUGAUUACUUUACUUGCAAAGUUAUCGGCGGCACGCUACCAUGGAAGAAAUCCGAUUUCCUUGUACACUUGUUCAAUCUAUCUCUUUACACUGUUUCUUCAAUCUAUCAAACUGGGGAACCAGCACUGGCGGAGAUGGAAGAAGAAGGAGGAGGGAGGAGGGAGGAGGAAGGAGAUGGUCUGGAGUUUAAGUACGGCACCAUGAGAAUGAGUUGUGAUACGCCGUCGUUUCAGAGUGAUGAAUGAAGGUGACGGAGUGUGCCUGUUGUUGCCAGAUGGGUGAGGGUUAGAUGAACAGUACCUCGUGGAUGUCAACGGUGGAGUUAAGCUUGGAUAAACAGCCACCGCUGAGGGAGAAAGACGAUUGUGUCGGAGAGAGAGUUACACGAGGGAGAGAGCUCAGCGACAGAGACAGACUGAAGAGAGAGACAGAGCCAAGAGAGUUGAGAGAGAACCAAUUUCUGAAAAUGUGAUAUGGGUGCAAUCAGUUUACAAUAAAGAUGUAUUUAUAGAUCGUAGUUUUAAAAAUUUUGAAAAGGGGUGGUAUUUUGACAAAAAAUUAUAAAAUGGGUGGUAUUUUGAGCUAUUUCCCUUGAAUCAAUCCUUAUCCAGGCAUCUUUCUCCUUCAAUUAAUCAAACCCAGAAAAAGUUCUUGUGUUUCUUUUACUCAUCAAACUUAGUUUCUCCUUCUCAAUUCAUGAAACACAAAAUGAUUCAACUAAACAAACCCAGCAGCUCAGAAAGAGGAAGAUUCAAUUGCUGAAAUAACCCAACAAAUUCAUACCUUCAGACUAAUGUCUCAUCUCAAAAUGAAAUCACCAUAUUUGAAGGGAAGAUUCCCAAACCAGCACACCAGACCAUGCUAUUAGAAAGAGGUUUAACAAAUUUGGGUCAGGUUUGAUUUUGUGCUAGAGGUGGUCCUGGUUUUUUUUUUUGUUUUUUUUUUUUUCCAGGGAGGUAAGGGUGUGCUGCGAAAUUUUUUUAGGGCGUCUACGCAUGGUGUCCAAGAAGGGGAAGGGGGCUGAGGGAGAUUUCGACAUGGAGAUGGCGGAUUGUGGCAUGUGGCUUGUGAGCAGGCGAUGCCUAGUGCUGGAGAGAGAGUUUUUUUGUUUCUUUUUUGUUUUUCCUUUCUUAUUUUUUAUUUUUCAAUUCAUGUGUGGUCAUUUAACAGAGCAUUUGAAAGAAUGACGUUGAUAAGAAAAAAACUUGAUGUAGUAAACUUUGAAUUUCGAGAAACUUCCGGAUUGUAAAGUGAAAUUUACCCUUAAUCUAUAUAUAUAAAGCAAAAGGCAGAGAAUGGUGAAACAUUCAAAAUACCAGAAAAUGCCCUUGGUUAAUGCAAAUAUUAAGAAUUGAAAUUAUUAAUUAAAUGAGGAUAAUAUGGUAAAUUCACAAUUUUUUGUAUUAAAAAAAUUAAAAUUAAAAGAAAAUUCAGAUAAUGGGUCCUAUUUUUAUGGAACACAAAUAUUCAUUAUCUUUUUUUAAUUUUAAAAUAAAUUUAAAUUUUUUAAAAAAAAAACCUCUCGCAUGCGCGGAAGCGCGUGCAGAGAGGCUAGUUAUAAUAACAAGUUGCCUGUAUUGGAAAAAACUACGAUGGUUUGUUUCAAGAAUGAUGUGUGACACCUCGACUCAAUUUUAAUCGUUUAUUAAAUUUAUUUAAUUGUGAAAUUACAAUUUUGUCUUUGGGAUAAGGUCAUGUUAGUCGAUCCAAGUAUGCUUUCUCAUCCUCUCAAUGAAGAGAGAAACUCUCAUGUAACAGGUAUAACACUUUUUGCUAUCCCCAACCAAUAACGUAAUGACAUGUAGGAUAAUUUUUUCACGUGUCAUUGUGUUAUUGGCCGGGGAUAGCAAAAUAGUGCUAUCCCCAUUAUAGGUAAGUUUUUUUCCUCAAUGAGAUCUAGCUAUCUAUUCAGGUGGUUUGGGUCAAUUUUGGGUUUUUGAAACUCAAUCUAGAACCUAGGUUUUGACCAAUUUUUUGCUUGAUUUUCCGGCAAGUUCCGGCCACUUUUUGGUUGUGGCCCAAGACCAAAAGUUGCUUCCCUAGUUGUCAAAAUCAUGUAGGUAUUGGUAUUGUCGAGUGUUUCGAGAAUUUUUCGGUCGCAGAAAUUUUCUCAAGGCACACAUGCCCUGCAGGCGCCUGGGCCUUGGUGUGGUGGCCCAUUUUGUUCUAAAAUAUUCUCCAUGUCGUUCCGAGCACGACGGUAUGCUCAAAUUCGAAUAGUGUUAUUGUUUGACGGUCAAAAGGAUUUACGCCUAUUAGGUGAUAUCCAGGUUCGAUAUGUUCGGAUUGUUGGAUCAACUCCAUUUCCAAGUAUGUUAAUCUAUGUACCUCUAGAAUCGUGUAGGAACCCACGAAUCGAGAAUUGGAGUCCUGGAUACUUCGAAUCAAUUAUUCAAAUAUUACGUAAAAUGAUGACCGUCUGAUAGUGCGAUCGAAAGCAAUCAUACCGCUCAAUCAAGACCAAACUUGCAGAACGGGUUUAGUAGGCUUAGUUGAACUCAUAGGAACUUUCGGAGGAGGUCGUGGGCCACGCGGGCCCAGUUGACCAAAUUUGGGAAGUUUGACCACUCAGUUGACCAAAAGUCUUUCAAGGUUAUUCCACCUUUCAAAAUGCAUAGUUGGACCUUAGAAACUCUCCGUUUGUCGUAUACACACUUGAGUCUCAAGAAAACUAGGAGCUUGUUUUUAAAGUUCUCUUUUGAAGUAUUUUAUUUAAUCUAGUCCUCGUACUCUUCAAUAGGUACUUAGGCUCAGCAUACUCAGCAAGCAGGACCCUCUCAAGGUCACGCAGCUUCGAACUUCCUAUGAGUGGACUUUGUUUUGAACAAGCAUUAUUUUCAAAGAUUAGAUUACCAUGCAUUUAAAUUGGAUUGCUUUGAAUAUGGAGUUGAUAUAUUAUUUUAAUUAUGGAAUUUGUGGUCGUUUGGAUAUUUAAACUUCAUAAUUAUUUUGGAUAUGGUUUAUAUGCUUUGAGAAGUUGUUAUUUACAUUAUGAUUUAAGAACUAGGCAAGUGGUGUAUGAGAGUAUGUACUUUGUUGAUUGUUAUGUGAGUAUUGUGUUUGCACCAUGCUAAGUACCCUCCCCUGGUUACCCACACAUGACGUUGGAUUUUCCAGCGUGUGGGCUCACUUGGUUAGAACUUUAUCACACGUGGCGUUGGAUUUUUCGACGUGUGAUAAAGCAGGCUACGCGCAUAGGACAUAGUUGGUUUGGUUUGGCCACACUUGGCGUUGGAUUUUCUGGCGUGUGUGCUAUUGAGUGGCAGUCCCUCGGUUGGAUAGCUCAUCCCUAGAUGUAGGGUAGAAAGUUCAAGCCGGCUAGUCAAACAAUCCAUGUGUAGGAUUGUUUUCCCCGGUACUCGUAUUGGUGUGAGAUUAUCGUAUAUAGAUAUUAUAUGUAUAUUUAUGAAUUUUGGGGCGUAUACCUAUACCGUCAUGAGAAUUUUCGUGGUCUAUAUGUAUAUAACUAUAUAUAUGUAUACGCUUAACUACUUUAAAAGUUUUCCUUACAUACUACGUUUUGUAAACCUAUAUCUUGGGAGGGGGUUUGGUUAGAAUCAAAAGAAAUUGAACUUCGUUAGAACUAUACUAUAUCGGGAGUAUAGGAGUACCUCAGUUUCAUAUUGAUUUCGUAUAAAUGGUUUCAAUUGCAUGUUUUUAGCAUCGUUUUUCAAAUAGUGAGGUUAGUAUGUUGUUUUCCAUUACGAUAAAACUUUGUUUUUAUCCACUCAUAAUUUUCUGUUUUGCUCCCCCAGGCAAUAGCUUGAUCUGAGUCGAGCCGAGACUUGAAUUUUCGAGCCCUGAACUUCUGUAAGGCAAUCUUUAUUUGUCUCUAUUUCCGUUGAACUUUGUUUUCAGUUGUAAACUGAAUUUCUCUAGGAUUGCUCUGUUAUCGCCUAUGUUAUGGUUGGAUGUAAGGCCGGAGGCCAAUUCUGUAAUUGUGUGCGUAUUGUGCAUGCUGCUAGUUUAGAAUUAUUACUGUAUUUUUAGACAGGUUGAAAUUUUUGAGAAAGUCCAUUUUUUAGGGGAGACUCUGCCGAAAUUUUGGCAGAAAGUCUCGACCCUCGUUUCCUUUGUUUUUGGAGAAGAGGAUGAUGUUAGUAAGUGGGGCUGACAUCAGGUGAAUGUCGAAAAAACCACAGGGUUCGUCACAGAUUCCGAGGAAUUUGGGGCUGGUCCUGUCAUGAUGUUUGGGUUUUAUAUAAACCCAAUAGUUCCCUCCUUGAGGAAAGUUCUAACUCGUGGAAAAACAAAGAGUAUUUCCUUAGUGCUCUAGUUUACUCAUUUGAUCAAUUUCGAGUCUAGUCAACAAAGUACAGAUAUAUAAUUGGUUUGCCAGAGUCUUAAAUUGAAGUGCUUUAAUUUAGGAUUAUCAAUUGUUAAAUCUUGGGAGAUGGACGCCUGUUGAACUACGAGCACAAGGAUAGGAGCGAAAUAUGUGUUUAGGACAUUACAAUUCUUGCAAGCCUCAAAUGCUAAUAUUGUCAAUAUUUCUACACAUUUAUGUUUAUUAGUUUACAUGAGUUCUAUGUAAGUUUGCUAUCAUAUUUGAUGCUUAUAAUUUUGUUGAGAAUUAUUAUUUUUAAAUUCAUAUUUCCUAUUGUUCCACCGACACUAAGUGCACCACAACAGUAACUGUAGGUAUUUAAGCACUAGGUAACACUAUGUUUUGGGUCUGUAUGAAUUUUUGUAAGGGAAAAUUGCAAGAAGAGUAGUGGGAAUAGACCAUAGAUAAAGUCUCCUCUUUAUUUCACUUAAUCCAAUCAAGAUUUGGUGGGAAGAGUGCAACGGUGGGGACAAGUAAAUUGACCACAUUACGAAAAGAUAAAAUGAGUAGUUAUGUUCCAUAAAAUAGGAACCAUUAUUAGAUUUUAUUUUUAAUUUUAAUUUUUUAAAAUAUAAAUUGACCAUAUUAUCCUCAUUUAAUUAAUAUUCAAAUUUUAAUAUUUGCAUUAACCAAUGGUAUUUUCUGAUAGUUUGAAUGUUUCACUGUUCUCUGCUUUUUGCUUUAUAUAUAUAUAUAUGAGAGAGAGAGAGAGAGAGAGAGAUUUGUACCACAACCUUCUAGUUUGGGAAACACGGCCUUAUUGUCAUGAUUGUUUUCUGUUUCGUCCACUUGGAAUAAUUUAUACUACUUUACAGCGAGGGAUGAGGAAGGAGAGAAGAGAGAUAGGGAAGGGGACUUGCUGUUAACGGAGGAAGGAUUUGGUGGCUGCUCCCUAUGGAGGGAGAGAGGCAGGGGAGCUGAGUGGUUGGGUUCUUCUAGUUUUUCUUUUUUCUUGAGUUAAUUACCGCAUUAUGACUUGGCAUUUAGUUAGGGGAAGAUGGUGGGCAGAUGUCGGCACAAGUUGGGUUAUUUUGGUCCCAAUCUGUAAUCCAACUCAUACACAGCAAUUUAUGAUUUCUUGGGACUUGCUUAUUAUUAGGCCAACCCAAUCCAACUCUUUUGUGAUCGAGUUGGGCCAUUUGAUUAGGUUAACCCAAAAUUAUGCCCUUAAGUUUUUAUUCCAACCCGUACAUAGAGGUUUAUAUUUUUUGAAUCUAAUACCCACUCAUUACCAGGCCAACCCUUUUAGAGCACUUCCACCCAUUUGCCAUGGCAAACGGCAAGGGCAAGGCAAGGUGUGUUUCCACCCAUUGCCAUCGCAAAGGACAAAUACUAUUCACUUUUAGUUUUUUUUUUAUUAUUAUUUAUACCUAAACAAUUAAUUUUUAGAAGAUUUUCGGUUCCCACGUGUCAAUAUUUAAUACAAAAUUCAUAUCUCAUAAUUCGAAUAAUUUUUCGGAUUCAAAUAAGAUUUUCAGAAAAGAUUCUCGGUUGCCACGUGUUGAUAUUUAUUAUAAAAUACAAAUCUCAAAUUUCAUAUAAAAUUUUAGGGUAAGAUUCUCGGAUGCCACGUGUCGAUAUUAUUUAUUAUAAAAUACAAAUCUCGUAUUUCAGAUAAGAUUUUUACCCUCUAAAAUCGCGACACAUGUCAUCUCUAUCUUCUAAAUUUCUCUAUAAAAUCAGAGGCUCAACUCAUACCUCUCACACCAUAUCUUUCUAUCCUUUCAUUUAUCAGAUUUUAGAUUUCAUACUCCACUUUCAAUGUCAUACAUGAGGAGAUGCUUGGAGAGACAAGAGCGAGAAAUUAAAGAAAGAGGGCGAGAAGAGCUGAAGAAAAAAGGGUGCAGCAAGAAGAUGAUGAACAAGUUGCCAUGGCGGUGGGUAUGCUCGAUCUAUCAAGGCAAGGCCGCUAUAGUGGUUCACAAGUCGGCCGUGGCCCGAACGUAGACAGAUAUAGGCAUUCUCGGGGUAAGAAUCUUUUGGAAGAUUACAUUAUCCCAAAUUCUGUGUACUCUAAUGUUGAUUUUCGAGGGAGAUAUAGAAUGCAACCCCAUUUGUUCAAUAAAGUCAUGCAUGAUGUUUGCAAUUACGAUGCAUACUUCGUUUAGAAGUGUGAUGCUGUUGGGUUUUUGGGGCUUCUUCCGGAGCAAAAGCUUACAGCUGCUAUACGAAUGGUGAUGUAUGAUGCAUAUGCUGAUUAGGUGGAUGAGAUUGCUAGGAUGGGGGAAGUCCACUACUCUUGAGAACUUGGUCAUAUUCUGUGAUGCAAUCGAAACUCUCUACACCAAGGACUACCUCCGCAAACCUACGCUUAGGGACCUCCAAAGGUUUCUACACAAAUAUGAAGCUCAAGGUUUUCCAAGCAUGAUUGGAAGCAUCGACUGUAUGCAUUGGCAAUGAAAGAAUUGCCCAACUGCCUGGCAAGGAGAUUAUGGGAAUAGGAAAAGGCAAAAGCAUAUCAUUCUGGAAGCCGUUGCUGGAUUCGAUACAUGGUUUGGCAUGCCUUUUUUGGAAUUGCCGGAUCUCAAAAUGACCUGAAUGUGUUGGGUCAAUCCUCGGUAUUCAACGACCUCUUGAGGGGUGAAGCCCCGAAUAUCACCUAUGAAGUCAAGUGAAGAUACUCUGUGUUGAAGCUUUGUUUAUGUUUUGUUUUGAAUUAUGCUUUGGUUGUGUUUUACUUUUAAUUAUGCUUUGGUUAUGUUUUUUUUUAAAAUUAUGCUUUAGUUUGAUGUAUGCAAUCUGUUGAAUAAAAAGGUAUUUUAUUGAAUGAUUUCUUUAGUCACUAUAAGAAAAGCAAUAGAACUAAUUAUGAUGUACUACUUAUUAAAUAAAAGACAAGAAUUACCACUACUUUAAUAAAAAAAACAAGCAAUACAAUUAAAUAAAAGGCAAGCAAAAUAACUUAAUGGUUUUGAUCAUUUAACCAAUCGGUGUUGCUAGGUCCAUCGUUACAGAAAAGCCUUCUUCUCAUAACAUCCCUUCGUUCUAGCUUCCAAAAUUGUUUUGUUUCAAUGGACAUAUGGCUUGUAUCCAUGGCCAUGGUUUCUCGAUCAUUCUUCUCAAUGUCUUGUUUGCGUAUAUACUCCCUUUCUCUUGCAUAUUCUUUAUUCAGUGCCUUCUUGUCCGCAUCUUUUUUCAUGUCUAAUUCAAUUCUCAUGGUGUCGUUCUUUGCAAUUUGCUCCAAAAGUUUUGCAGUAUCAUUGGUGGAAGUACUCUCUCUCUUGGCCUUCGUCGCCUUUCUCCCAAUGGGCCUCGGCUCCCUUUGAAUUGGUGAGUCUUGACUCAUCGGGGAAUCCAAAGGCAAAUCUGACGCCGUUGAAUCAUGGAAUGGUGUCUCGUUCAACACAACGGUCGGACCUGCGAGAAUAAUUCUGAACCUCGAACAAUUUUUCAAAACCUCCCAACAUUGGUCAUGGUUGAAAGAUUUUUUGCCUUGCCCAAUGGCACCAAACCAUAUUUGUGCUUGCAUAAUCUAUUUAAAAAAAAUAUUGGAAAUGCAAGAAACAUUACAAAUUUUUUUAAAAAAAAUUAGGACAUAAAAAUUAAUAAAAUGGAAAUUACAAAUACUUUACCUCAUUGCCACGAUUUUCCCCGCUUCGAUGGUUGUCCCUCUCUUUUGCCAACGCAUCUCUCCAUUUUCCCAACUCUUUAUUCAAAAAAUUCACCUACUAGCCAAGACCAUUUCCGUACAAGCCAAACCCAAUCUUUCACAAAAUUCAGCAUGAAUUUUUCUCCACAUAUGAGAGAAUUUCAUCUCAUUGCCCGUGAUCGGACAAUGACCAACUUGGACCCAACACUUACACAAUAGAACAUCUUCCAUGGUUGUCCACGCCCCUCCGGCUUCGAUGGAAGAUGUCAUAAGAUGAUGAAUAAAAACUAAAUUUGAAAGUGAAUAAAAUUUUGUCUAGAAAGUGAAUAAUAUUAGAAGGAGAAGAAAAUAUAUGAGGAUUUGGUGUUGAAAGUGAAGAAUAUUGGUAGGUGUUUAUAGAAAAAAAAAUUGAAUUUUUUUCCAUAUUUUUUUAUACACAAAAAAAAGGGCAGCCAUUGGAUUGAAGGAGAAAACUAGAUCGGAGAGCCCAAAGGCAGCCACGUGGCUUCUAGCCGUUGGUGCAAAAUCAGGGCUGAUGCCAGCCUAGCAUCUGCGCACGAAAUUCGAAUUUUUUUUUUUUUUUUUUAUAAAACUUUUGGAGUGUGAAAUGUACGAGCCAACGGUAAAAUAAUUUCAAACUCGGGUGUUGACGUCAGGCUAGCGUCAGCCAUAACGUCAGCAGCCCUCGGCUAGAGCACAGGCUCGUUUCACCUGUGGGCUAGCCCCGUUUCGUGGGACCCCCAAGCUGCUCGGGCAGCUUCGGCCCUCUGGAAUGCGCUUUUGGGCUUGGGCCCCCUCUUGCCCUGGCAAGGGCCCCUUGCUGGAAGUGCUUUUAUGAUCGGGUUGAGCUAUUCAGUCGAGUUUACGCAAAAUUAUAACCAUGGAGUUAGGUUAAUUGUGCAAAGGCACAAAGCAGGGUACCCAUUCCUUUACACCCACAUCUAAUUCCCUCCUCGUACAUUAGAAUAUUAUAGAUAUCGUAUUGUCAAACUAGGGGAAAAAAAUGGUGAAUGAAAAUGUUGAGGGUUCUAAAAGAAAUGUUAUGCUUCUAAAGGAAUGGUUGCAGCUUCUAAUAGAAAUGCUGUUGCUGCCAAGGGAGAUGAUGUUCAGUUAGUUCCAAAAGACAGGUUGUUGGAUCUUAAGGAUAGGAAAAGGGGGAUGAAGGAGGUCUUUGAGGUAAAGAGAGAGUGGAAGAGUUUGAUAAUCUACCUAUCUUCCCCAUAUAUUCGAAAAAGAACCAUACAAUAUAGACACUAAAUGUAUGUUUCAACCCACAUGAAAAUUAGAAAACAAAACCCUAGUUUUGGUUUCUUGACAAGCAAUGUCAUUCUUUUGGUGACAAAGAAAAUUAAGUCAAAGAAAUAAAAUGAAAAACUUCGCUUGACCCCAGAUUAUUUCAUACUUUUAGAUACUCAUACGACAUGAUGAAAUCUGUGCACAAAAUGACCAACGUCUCAAAGUCAGUCAUAACAUAACUCCUAACGGUAAGGAAAUUCACAAAGCUCAUGAGGUACAAAGAAGCAUUAUGACAUGACAAAAGACACAUGCUCAUGCGGCUUUCCAUGAAGACACUGGAGGAGUUUCAGAGUUCUUCCAAGUACUAACGUCAUUCUGAUAUCUGUCACCUUUAACGGCAUCAGCCGAAGCAAAAGAUUCAAGCUCAGCCAGUUCUUCUGGUGUCAGUUUCACAGAGAGAGCACCAAUGUUCUGGUUAAAAUUCUCAAUCUUGGUGGUUCCGGGUAUCGGACACACAUCGUUUCCUUGAUGAUGAACCCAGGCCAGUGCUAGCUGAGAUGGGGUGCACCCUUUCCUUGCAGCAAGAUCACUAACCCGCUCGAAUAGUGUUUUAUUAUGCUCUACGUUUUCGGGUUGGAACCUGGGGUGAAGCUGCAACCAUUGAACUAAACAAUUCAGAAUCAAGACUAAGUUUGCUUGAUCAAAAUGACAUGAUAAAGAUGUACAACAAUCCCAUGGACAGAAAUAAGCAUGACCAGAAAACUACAGUUAACUUUCUAGGAAAUCAGGAGAAGCUCCCUUUCUUGCCAAUUUAUUUCUUCAAAUUAUAGUGAAGCAUUAGAGAAACCGAAAGGCCUAAAUGAAAAAUGGGAGUGUGAAACUCUGAGAAAUUUUCCUUGCCACCACAAAACAUUAUAAAAUACAGAAUAUUGAAGCAAAUUAGAACGUUAGUGGGCUCUGACUGUCUGGAUGAAUGACAGCUACUUAGGUACUAACGUUACAGAAAGAAAUUUUGUGCACUAGCCAAGUUUUUGAUGGAGAGAAGACUACUGAGAAAACUCAGUAAGAGGGUUCUGGGAGAGAUUGCGAGAUGAAUUAUCAACUUGAGAUCUUGCAGGGUAGAUGGAAGUUCAGGAAAUACACAAUCAUAGCAUCAUGAUGAUACCAAGAAAAUUUUAUCUGGCAGUUUGGUAAUUUAAAAUCGAAAAAAUUUGUGAAAUACCAACAAACCUUUCGAGAAUCAUUCUGGGAGAGGUUUUCGACAAACUUAGCCCCUGAUGAAAAGAAUCCUCUCCCUAGAGGACUGUAAGCAACAAUACCAAUGCCAAGUUCCCUGAUAAAUUUAGGCAAGUGAGAUAAAUUAUAAUGAAUUUGGUACAUAUUUGUUAUUUACAAAUAUAACAGUUCUACCAGUUCCACAAAACCUCACCGGCAAGUAGGAACUAUUUCUGCCUCGACAUCUCUCGACCACAAGGACCACUCCAACUGCACAGCUGUAAUUGGAUGAACAGCAUGUGCUCUUCUUAUUGUAGAAGCUGAGGCCUCAGAUAGGCCAAUGUACUUCACCUUACCCUCUUCAACUAGUUUCUUCAAUUCCCCUACCUUGCAAAAGACAUAAUAAAGGAAUUUAAGGAAUCAAAAGAAAAUACUCAAAAUAAGUUAAUCAUGAUGCAAGCCAGAACCAAACGAAAAGAAAAAAAAAUCAGUCUAGUAAGAAAAGAGAACUAGCUUCAAGAUGAUCAAUAUUACAUUUUAUGAUACUCUAGAGCAAGUCCCAAAAAAAGGAUGCAAUCACAUUGAGAUAGAACUAAACUUUCAAAAAUUACAACUAAUUUGCCAUCACAAACAAGUGGUUCCUGUUAUAUGAGAUAUGAGGUCAAACCAUGACUUCUGCAAGGUAAACCACAAAUGUAAUCAAAUUGAGGAAUUGAUAAAACAUGUGACUAAAAAUGAUACAAGAUGUUGUCAAAUCUUCGGAUAAACAUGACUUUACUAGGCCUGCAGAUGCAUAUUGCUCUGUAAUUGCUAUUAAAGGAGAUCAAAUCUCAAGGAGGGAAGAAGACAAACCGUGACUUCUAUGGGGACAGUGGUGUCAAUCCGAUGCUGAUAAUAGAGAUCAACAGAAUCAACACCAAGGCGCUUCAAGCUAUCCUCAGCAGCAGCCCUCACAUAGGCAGGGUCACCUCGCACCUCCAUCUUCUUCUCUGCGAAGUGGAUGCCAAACUUGGUGGCCAAUUCAACCUUCUCUCUUACCCCUCCCUUCAGAGCCUGUUCCACAUUAAUCCAACAAAAUCUAGUUCACUUCAUCAUCAUCAAUCGCAAUUAAUUGAAAAAUCUAAAUAAAACCCAAAAAAGCAAUUACAUUUAUCAUUGUCUCUCUCAAUGCUUGUGCUUGGCUGGCUAAGUAUCUUAAAUACAGGAACCAGAGUGAACACAACCCAAUUCACUUCUUCAUUAAUUCAUCCCAUUCAACAAUACAAACAAAACCCACAAAGCAAUUGUACAAAUUAUUGUCUCUCUCAGUACUUGUGCUUGAUUUAGUAACUUAAAUACAGGAACAAGACUGAACCAAACCAAACCCAAUUCAUUUUAUCAUCAACUCAUCCAAUUUAACAGCCCAAACAAACCCAAAAAGCAAUUGAUACAAAUUAUGAGCAAAUAUUAAGAAGCAAAGUCAAGGUUAGUGGCGUACCUUGCCAAGCAAAAUUUCGUUGGUGAAGGGGCCGUAUAUGUCAGAGGUGUCGAGGAAGGUGACGCCGGAGUCAAUGGCAUGGUGGAUGAGACUGAUCAUGUCUGCGUCGGGCUUCGGAGCGCCAUAGAAGGCAGACAUGCCCAUACAUCCCAGGCCUUGAGCAGAGACCUCAAGGCCUUGUGAACCCAACUUGAUCCUCCUCACUCCUCCUGCCAUUUGCUAUCUGUGGUUGUUUCAGUUUGGUUCGUAUAUUUAUAAUUGCAGAAAGUGAAAACUUCAAACGAGCUGGCCAAUCUGAAACAAUUCAAACGUGCCGGCGCCAGAUCAUCUCUCCCAUCGAUGCUUUUUUUUUUCUUCUCUCUCUCUUUUCAAAUUUCUUUCAGGGAACUGUGCACAAAUACUAGACUAUUAGAAUGUCUGGUGAGCCUGCCAAUGAAUAUUUGGACAAAUCAUGCAUCCACAUAGGUGCAGCAAGCGUCAUGGCUGAUGCGGAAGCCAUUGCAACUGUUGGUUGUCAUUUGAACAAGCUACCGUUUGGUAAGACAGCAUUUUCAACUGACGUGUCAAAAGUGUUACAUAGAUAUUUAAUAGCUAGAAAUACUAUCUCAUAUCACUCCAACCAAUAUGUCAAAGCUAAUGUAGAAUGAAGACUAGAAGUUGAAAUGUUAUUUUUGACAUUCCAAAAGCAAGAUGUCAAAUGAAUAUAUAUAUUUUUUAAAAUUUAAAAUAAAUCUACACUAAAAUGUAAUAAAAUAAUAAUUUAAUUUGACAUAUUGAGUGGAGUGUAAAACUGUGUAAGAUAUUAAAUUACCACAUUAGCCAUCAAAUUUAAAUUUGAUGUUUAGUAUUUGACAUCUCCCUUGGAGAUCCUCGCCCUUCUAUCCGGAAAAAGAAUGCAUAUUUUUAAUAAUUUAUAGACUGAAUUACCCCUCCAUAACUAACAGAAGUUUUAAAAAAAAAACGUGACAGAAAUUGCAGAUUCUACUUGCAUUGCUUCAAAUUAAAAUGACAGAGACCAACAUGGUAAAAGUAACAAACUACAAACACUAAAAGUGACUUUUUGCCAUAAAAGAUUAAAUAAAUAAUUUUUUUUGAAAAGGAGAAAGACACAGAUGAUGAGUCCUCUUUAUUUCACCUAAUCCAAUCAAGAUUUGGUGGGAGGAGUACAACGGUGGAGAGGAAUAAGAGCAUCCACAAUGUGCUCCUUAAACUACCUUCUUAGCUAAAAUUUGGGGAGGAAUUGAAAAACCCACCUCUAACCAUGCUCCUUAUCCAGCUCCUAAAAUAGGGAGAUCUUUAGGAGUUCUUAAAUCUGAGAAGAGAGAAAUCACUCCUAGUGACUCUCUAUAAUUAAAUGCUUUUGUAUUUAAUAUUAUUUUAAACAUUUAUUUAAUGCCAAGUAUUUCUUUAUUUUUGUUUUUGUGUCUACACUUUAUUCAAAAAUUGAAUUAAAAAAUAUUUAAAAUAUUUAUGAUUCUUUAAAGUAUGGAGUAUGGUUGAAGUUGAAAUUUUUUAUAGAGCUCUUAAAAUAGUUUUCUAGUGUUUGUAGCUAAAUGUUAACUAAAAAAAAUAGAGAGCAUUAUUGUGGAAGCACUAAAUUGACUAUGUUACGAAAAGAUAAAAUAAGUAGUUAUUCAAUAAAAAUAGGACUCAUUAUCAUAUUUUAUUUUUAAUUCUAAUAUUUUAAUAUAAAAAUAUAAAUUGACCAUAUUAUCCUCCUUUAAUUAAUAAUUUCAAUUUUUAAUAUUUGCAUUAACCAAGGACAUUUUUUUGGUAUUUUGAAUGUUUCACUAUUCUCUACCUUGCUUUAUAUAUACUAGCAUCUCGCACACUCUUCCGCGCUUGAUAGAUUUUUUUUAAAAUUUUUUAAAAUUUAUUUUAGAAUUAAAAAAGAUAAUGGGUAGUUUUGUUCCAUAAAAAUAGGAAAUUACUCCUAGUGACUCCCUACAAUUAAGUGCUUCUGUAUUUAAUAUUAUUUUAAAUAUUUAUUUAAUGCCAACUAUUUUUUAUUAUUGUUUUUGUGUCUACACUUUAUUCAAAAAUUGAAUUAAAAAAUAUUUAAAAGAUUUAUGAUUCUUGAAACUAGGGAGUAUGGUUGAAGUUGAAAUUUUUUAUAGAGCUCUUAAAAUAGUUUUCUAGUAUUUUUAGCUAAAUUUUAACUAAAAAAAUAGAGAGCAUGAUUGUUGAAGCUCUAAAUUGACUAUAUUACGAAAAUAUAAAAUGAGUAGCUAUUCAAUAAAAAUAGGAUUCAUUAUCAGAUUUUAUUUUUAAUUUUUAAUUUUUAAUAUAAAAAUAUAAAUUGACCAUAUUAUCCUCCUUUAAUUAAUAAUUUUUAACUUUUAAUAUUUGUAUUAACCAAUGGCAUUUUUUUGGUAUUUUGAAUGUUUCACCAUUCUCUACCUUACUUUAUAUAUACUAGCCUCUCUGCACGCUCUUCCACGCCAGAGAGAUUUUUUUAUUAAAAAUUAAAAAAUUAUUUUAGAAUUGAAAAAGAUAAUGGGUAGUUGUGUUCCAUAAAAAUAGGAUCAAUUAUUUGAUUUUUCUUUUAAUUUUAAUUUUUUUUAAUAUGAAAAAGUGUGAAUUUACCAUAUUAUCCCUAUUUAAUUAACAAUUUUAAUUCUUAAUGUUUGCAUUAACCAAGUGCAUUCUUUGGUAUUUUCAAUGUUUUACCAUUUUUUACCUUUUGCUUUAUAUAUAUAAAUACCCUAUAUGAAAUAGACUUUAGAAACACACCCAAAGCCCAUUUACAACAUAACAAAGAGACUUUUAACUUCUUAUAAAUUACAAAGCUGCCAUCAAUUUCUUAAAAUAAGCCCAACCCAAAAUACUCAUUAGGGUAUCAAAGUCAUUUAAUAAUCAAAAUUAAAUUUAAUAGGGCCAACUGUCAUUUUUGGGGCUUUUUUUUUGGGUUUAUUUAUAGAAAUGAAAUGGUGUAGGAUUUAUCUAUAUUAUUAGUGCUAAGAAUAGGUAUAUGACUAAAUAUCUCUAAUUUAUUCUACUUUAUAGGGAGGAAUGAGGGAGGAAAUAAGAGAGAGAGGGACAGGGACUUGUCGGUGACGGAGGGGUGUUUGGCAGCGGCUCCUCAUGGAGGGAGUGAGGUAGGGGUGCUGAGUGGUUGGGUUCUUCUAGUUUUUCUUUUUCUUGGGUUAAUUACCGCAUUAUGACUUGGCAUUUAGUUGGGGGAAGAUGAUGGGCAGAUGUCGGCACAGGUUGGGUCGGUUUUGGUCCUAAUAUGUAAUCCAACCCAUACAUAGCGGCUUAUGAUUUCUUAGGACCUGCUUAUUAUUAGGCCCACCCAAUCAGACUCUUUUGUACUCGAGUUGGGCCGUUUGGUUAGGUUAACCCAAAAUUAUGCCCACUCUUAAGUUUUGGUUCCAACUCGUACAUAACGGUUUAUGAUUUUUUGAACUCAAUACCCACUCAUCACUAGCCAACCCUCUUAUUAUUGGGUUGAGCUAUUCAAUUGAGUUGACCCAAAAUUAUAACCAUAGAGUUAGGUUAAUUGCGCAAAGCAAGGUACCCGUUCUUUUUCACCCACGUUCGAUCCCCUCGUCGUACAUUAGAAUAGUAUAGAUAUUGUAUUAUCAAAAUAGGAAAAAAAAAUAAUAAUAAAAGAAGGGAAGAUUCACUAUAAUACUUAAUAUAGGAGCCCAAAUUAUUUAAAAAAAAACUUAUAUGAAAUGGAGUUUAGAAACACACCCAAAAUUCAUUUACAACAUAACAAAAAGGCUUUUAACUUCUUUUAAAUUACAAAACUGCCAUUGAUCUCUUAAAACAAACCCAACCCAAAAUCUUCAUAAAAAAGCCCAAAUCACUCAAUGGGGCAUCAAGGUUAUUUAAUAAUUAAAAUUAAAUUUAAUAGGGCUAACUAUCAUUUUUUGGGUAUGUUUAUAGAAAUUAAAUGGUUUAGGGUUUAUUUAUAGUUUUAGUGCUAAAAAUUGGUAUAUGACUAAAUAUCAAAAAAUAAAAAUAAAAAAUGAACGAAAUUGUUGAGGGUUCUAAAGGAAAUGUUAUGCUUCUAAAGGAACGGUUGCAGCUUCUAAUAGAAAUGUUAUUGCUGCCAAGGGAAAUGAUGUUCAGUUAGUUCCAAAAGACAGGUUGUUGGAUCUUAAAGAUAGAAAAAGGGGGAUGAAGGCGAUCUUAGGUAAGGAGAGAGUGGAAGAGUUUGAUCUCUUAAAAAUUGCUAGCGACAGAGAAUUUAAGUCAAAGAAAUAAAAUGAAAAACUUCGUUUGACCCCAGAUUAUUUCAUACUUUUGGAUACUCAUACAACAUGAUGAAAUCUGCUUACAAAAUGACGAACGUCUCAAAGUCAGUCAUUGGAUACCACUUCACAUGAACUACUUAUUCUCAUAACGGUAAGGAAAUUUACAAAGCUCAAGCGGUACAACGAAGCAUUAUGGCAUGACAAAAGGCACAUGCUCAUGUGGCUUUCCAUGAAGACACUGGAGGAGUUUCAGAGUUCUUCCAAGUACUAAAGUCAUUCUGAUAUCUGCCACCUUUAACGGCAUCAGCAGAAGCAAAAGAUUCAAGCUCAGCCAGUUCUUCUGGUGUCAGUUUCACAGAGAGAGCACCAAUGUUCUGGUUAAAAUUCUCAAUCUUAGUGGUUCCGGGUAUCGGACACACAUCGUUGCCUUGAUGAUGAACCCAGGCCAGUGCUAGCUGAGAUGGGGUGCACCCCUUCCUUGCUGCAAGAUCACUAACCUGCUCGAAUAUUGUUUUGUUAUGCUCUAGGUUUUCAGCUUGGAACCUGGGUAGAUACUGCAACCAACAAAGUAAUCAAGGUUAAAAUUACUUUAUAAAAAUGAUAUGAUAUAGAGGAGGCACAAUUCAAAGGCCCUGAUAAGAAGUCAACAUAACUUUGUAACACUAGAAUAGAGACUCCUUCAGAUGUUGUGCAGAAAUCCAUUAUUUUCAUGGCAUUACAAAAUAUUUGAGGAUUGCAGUGAAGAAGUCAACUAAGGCAGGUUCAUUAAUGAUAAUGAUCAUAACACGUUAUUCCUUUGUUUUUCUUUUUUCAACUCAAGUAACACUGUCAGACAGUGCACUGUCAAUUACCAGAAAAUUAGUCUACCUGGGGAGAACACAAAAUUACAGUUACUUUCUAUGAAAUAAGGAGAAGCUGAUGGGCAACCUGGCUAGCAUGUUUGUUUCUUCAAAUUAUAACAAAGGUGGGAAGUGAAUUCCAAAAACAAAUACAUAAAUAAUAUUAAAACAAAUCAUUCUGAUUUGGCCUAAUUCAACUCUGAGAAUUUUUUACCUUAGAACAGGAUUAUAUUAAGAGUAUUUAAGCCUUGGGACUAUCUGGAUAAAUCAGGGAUACUUGGAUACAGCAAUUCUAAAAAAAUUUCUUUUUUCCAUGUGAACUCAACAAGAGGGUUCUAGCCUGCAAGGGGAGAUUACUAAAACUUGUGAGAUCAAUUACUAAUCUGAGAACUUUCUAGGAGAUACAAGGACGUUCACAAUGCUACUAAUUUUCUCUAAUGUGCAUGCACUUGUGCACUUGAAAAUCAAUAUCUAUGUGGCAUAUCAACACACCUUUCGGAAAUCAUCAUUGGGAAGAUUUUCAAAGAACUUAGCUCCUGAUGAAAAGAAUCCUCUUCCUAGAGGACUGUAUGCAACAAUGCCGAUGCCAAGUUCCCUGGGAAAAUCAAAAAAUGAGAUUAGCAUGAAAUUUUACCUACUUUAUAAACAAAUCAGUUAGUUCCAUUAAGACUCACCGGCAAGUAGGAAUUAUAUCUUCCUCCACAUCUCUUGUCCACAACGACCACUCCAACUGCACAGCUGUUAUUGGACGAACAGCGUGUGCUCUUCUUAUUGUGGAAGCAGAGGCCUCGGAUAGUCCAAUGUACUUUACCUUACCUUCUUCAACUAGUUUCUUCAGUUCCCCAACCUUGUAAAUGACAUGAUAAAGGAAUUUAAGGAAUGACAUGCAUUUCUCAAAAUAAGUGAAUCAUGAUGCAUGCCAGUACAAAAAAGAAUAAUACUAACAGUCAAGCAUAUAAGGAAAGUAACACAGCUACUGCCUAUAUCCAGUGCAGAGUUCAGACAUAUGAUAAAGAUAACACACACACACACACAGAACACAGCCCAAACAAUUAAGACCCUUUCAUCUAGUGGGGAGGAAAUGGUGCAGAUUGUAAUAACUGAGGGUCAAACAAAGAAAAAAUCAAGAUGAAAUGUUUUUCAGUUAAAAUCAGUAAGAAGAUUUACACAAACCAUCAUCUAAAAUUGUUGAUAAAUAACUGAGAGUAAUUCAAACUUCUAUAACGAGUUCAUCAUCACUUGACGCUUAAAGAUAUAAAAAUACACUCAUCAAAGACAACCUUUUCCCGCUUGAACAACUCAACACAAUGUAGUUUAGAAAAUGGAACUAAAAAAGGGGUUUCAGUCAAAAGAUGUGGUCAAACCAUACUUCUACUUGGUAGAAUACAAACGAAUUGAAUGGGGAUUGAACUAAUAAAAUGAUAGAAGAUGUUGUAGGUCUUUGAAUAACCAUGACUUCGGUAGACCUGCAGAUGCGUAGUUACUAAUUUCAAUUAGUUCUCCUCGAGCACCAUUCUUACUAAAGACACAUGUCUUGUUUUCUCAAUUCAAUGGAAACUAUAUUAUCAUAUGAAGUUAUCAACACAAUUGUUCUGCGAUUGUAAUAUCAAAAUUCAAGGGAGAAAAAAACAAACCGUGACUUCAAUGGGUACACGGGUAUCAAUCCGAUGCUGAUAAUAGAGAUCAACAGAAUCAACACCAAGGCGCUUCAAGCUACCCUCAAUAGCAGCUCUCACAUAUGCAGGAUCACCUCGAACCUCCGGCUUGUUAUCAGCAAAGCUGAUACCAAACUUGGUGGCCAACUCAACCUUCUCUCAUACCCCUCCCUUCAGAGCCUGUUCCUCAUCAAUCCAACAAAAUCCAAUCCAAUUCAUCAUCAUCAUUUACAAUCAAAUCAAUUGAACAAUCUAAACAAAACCCAAAAAGCAAUUUUAUAUAUAUAUAUAUAUAUAUAUAUAUCAUUGUCUCUCUCAGUGAUUGCGCUUGGCUUAGUAACUUAGUACAAGAACAAAACUGAACACAAACCAAUUCACUUCAUCAUUUGUUCAUCCAUUCAACAAUACAAACAAAACCCACAAAGCAAUUAUAAAAAUUAUUCUCUCUCAGUGCUUGUGCUUGUGCUUGUGCUUGAUUUAGUAACUUAAAGACAGGAACAAGAGUGAACAGAACCCAAUUCAGUUCAUCAUCAACUCAUCCAAUUUAACAGCCCAAACAAAGCCAAAACGCAAUUGAUACAAAUUAAGAGUGAUUAUAAGCAAAGUCAAGGUUAGUGGCGUACCUUGCCAAGAAGAAUUUCGUUGGUGAAGGGGCCGUAGAUGUCAGAGGUAUCGAGGAAGGUGACUCCGGAGUCAAUGGCAUGGUGGAUGAGACUGAUCAUGUCUGCGUCGGGCUUCGGAGCGCCAUAGAAGGCAGACAUGCCCAUACAUCCCAGGCCUUGAGCAGAGACCUCAAGGCCUUGUGAACCCAACUUGAUCCUCCUCACUCCUCCUGCCAUUUGCUAUCUGUGGUUGUUUCAGUUUGGUUCGUACAUUUAUCUCUGCAGAAAGUGGAAACUUCAAACGAGCUCACCAAUCAGCAACAAUUCAAACUUGCCGGCGGCAGAGCAUCUCUCCUAUUGAUUUUUCUUGCUUUUUUUUUUUUUUUUUAAUUAUAAAUUUUUUUAUGGAAAAGAUAUUCAUCCCACCAAAACAAAGAGGAAACAAACAGACAAGGGCUGAAGGACACACGUCAGCAAACGCAAGAGUAAAAGCAGAAACUAGGAAUUAAGCAAACUGCUAAGAAAGGAAAUAUAACAAGACAUAAACUGCGCAGGAAGCAACAGGGUAUGACAUUCCAAAACAGGAUGUCAAGCUCACUGAACAGUACGGGAGAUCCUUAGCAUCCUGGAGGGCAAGGAAGGCCAUCGUCGUUAAGUACAUGCACAAGAGAGGUCGGGGGUCUAGAUUCCAAGACUUCCGGGCUCGACCUCGAGAGUGCCACUGCCAGCGACGCCAAAUGAUCUGCCGCUUGGUUUCCAAUUCUAUUGAUAAUUUUUCUCUGAUGACGCACCUAUGAGACGAUGCCAUGUGUCAUUAGAUUCCAAUUACUACUAUUUUACAAUGCUUUAACAUCCAAAAAUAAUAAUAAAUUCACAAAAAUUCACACAUAAAAAAUCAUACGAACUCCUUGUGACAUUUAUUUCAUAUUUUAAGCUUUAAAAUAUAAUUUUUGUUUCUCUACUAACAAUAAUACGUUACAACAACUUUUUCUCCAAUUAUUACUUCAAAUUUCGUAAAGUCAAAAUUUAGUUUUCACACAUUAAUAUAGUUGAAGAUAAUGUCUCAAAGGGGUGUUUAGAAAUUUUAUGUUCAUUCUUUUGGGAUUUUUUUAUAUAAUUAUUAUCAAUUUGAAAAUCAAUCUUGAUGUCAAAACAAAUAAAUAAUUUAAUAGAUGACAGGUGGCGUCCCAUGUUAAUUGUUAGAAAAAAGUAAUGGUUAUCAUAUACUUGUCAUUAAUUUUCUGCUCUUCUUCUUUCUGUUUACAGAUGAAGACUCUGAACUGGAUGGUACGAUGGUCAGGUGCAUAGAUUUUUAGCUUGCCUUUUGGUUUGGCAGAGAUGACCAAGUUGAAUGAUUACGUUACAUCAUCUGUUUCAAUGCUCACAACUCUUUCAGCAUAUAUAUUUCCUUGCUUUAAAAGUUGGAAGUUUUUCCAUUUCAAUGCAAUUUCCUUAUAAUACUUUGGUUCUGCGCUGGACUUUUGCAUAGCCUGCAUUCUUUUGUACAAAUUUUCUUAUUCAAUUUCUCAAUUUUAAUAAGUAUUGAAGCCCUAAAGAAAUCUUUGUGAUGCUUUUUUCAAACAUAUUUUGACAAAAGUCAAAAUGACAAGUUUGGAGCUUUACAAAUUAUGCAAUGUGCUAAUAUUUUCUUCGAUUACCCGAAAUGAUGCACCAGUGACGCUCUAGCAAAUUCGUUUAGACACUUUUAUAAAACUUGUUUUGGCAGAGUGAUACUCGUAGAAUGGAUAUAAAUGAUUCACUUCCUCCAAUUAUUACUUCAAAUUCCCAAACUCAAAUUUCCAUAAAUAGUAAUUAAGACUUCUUGGUAUUAAAAAAAAAAAAAAGCAGCAGUACCAAGUACGUUUAAGCAAUUUCUUUCAUCUCUUUUUCUUUCUAUAUUUGAUUACAUUGUGAUUUAGGAUGUUUACCGGUGUCAGUUUCUAACACUGCAGACAAAUCAACAUAUGCACAGAAAGCGACAUACAAUAAUAAAUGUACAUGAAAUUAAUCAGUUAAUCCAUCAAACUCUUUACCGAGGACAAAGAGCACUUUGUAUUGUUGAAACCAUCCCAAGAUGUUCCGUUCAAACUCGGUGGAACGGUUAGGUUGCACAGGACCUCGCCAGACAUUUAACCAAUCUUUUCUUGAAAAGCAAUCACCACAUCAAUACUGUAGAGGUGAGCAGUAUUGGGAAGCACAGGUUCCUCAAACAGGAGAGGUUUCCACCCUUGAAUAAGGGCAUUCUGAAAAGUGGUUGUGCUCUUGGGGUCUUGGUGAAUCGUUGUAUGGCUAUCGACCAAAGUCAUGAGACCAAAUUUCUUGUUUUGAUAGUAUGCAAUGACUUGGGUGUCACUCAAGUUAAAGUGGAUUUUUUUGUUAGGGUUUGUGAGGGUGAGGUUGUAGGAGAGAGUAUGGUUGGUUUCAGUGUAAUUGAAUCGAUUAAGAUACACACCAUUGAUGCUGAAUUCAGGAGUUUCAUACCCCGAGUGCAAGGAGAUAACAAAAUAGACGCAAGAACCAGCCAUCACCACUAACACCAUCACAAACAAGAUAAACAACACAAUCAUUUCAAAUAUUAUCAUGAUGGGAUUGCCGAUCUUCUUGAUGUCUGAACUUUUAGUUGCAAACAUGACUGAGAAAAAAUAAGAAAUUAAUAGUUGGAGGAGUUAAUGGAAGAGAAAUUAAUGGAAGAAAGAAAUAGUUAAUGGAUACGAAGACGACAAUUCUAAGGUUAUUUUAUAGCAUUCCCCACCCCAAAACCUUCUUCCUAUCUAUACUCUUCACUUUCUCUAAUUUUUAUAAAACCCCAAAUCCAUUUUUAGCUCAAUUAAACAUAAUUGAAUUGAAUUUUUAGUUUGAGAAGAUAACCAAUAAAGUAGAAGGAAAAAAAACAAUUGGAAGUUUGGAUUGUUAUUUAGAUGAAGUAAGGCAGGAAGUUAACAAUUGCCAUUGUCUCUACUUUACUAAUAUGAUCAUUAGGCACAUCCUUAACCACAAAAUCCGGGUCGGCUUUAUGUGUUGUUUGAGCUUUGGUUGGUUGUUCUUGGGCCAUUAGUCUUUUUUGUUGCUUUUGUUGGGCUCACCAAUAUUGUGAAUGAAGGAACUGGACUAACUACUUUUUUGGACUUUACCAAAAACAGAACAAGACGUUCUUUAGGGUUCGUCGGCCCACCCAAAAAUUUUUAGAUCCGGGCAGGGCCUAACGAGUUUUUUUUUAACUUUUUGGACUGGGCCGAGCUGGGCCAAGGUUUCAAAGGGCUUGUCCUGAGUCCGAGCCGCCCAUCGGGUCGGACUUUGAUGGGUCUAACAAGCCGAGGAAUCAUGGGCAUAAAUGAGCCGUGCCCUUUUUUUAAAAAAAAAUUAUUAUUUUUCAGAGUCUUUUAAAUCUUUUUUGUUACACUUUUGUUUUUUGGUGUGAUGGAUAAAAGGAACAAUAGUAUAGAUUACAGUAUAACUUAAGAAAACAAAAAUAUAAUUGCUAAACCUAGAACAAUAGCCAAUAUAUUUUUAAAAAUAUUAUACCUAAAAAUGAAUCAUAAUGAAAAUGUGUUACUUUUAUCCCAAACUAGGAUUGACAUCAUGAAAAUUAAAGGAAUUUAUGCCAUUAUAAUUAAUAAAAGCAAAAUAAGCUUUCAAAUUCUUUAUUGAACCAUUAAAUUUGAACUUGACAAAAAUGAGCACUAAAGAUAUAGUGUAUAUAUUGCUUGUUUGUUACAAAAUUUUAGAUAACAUCAAACAAUUAACUUAAUUUAUAACAUGUGUAAACAAAAUAAGAAGUUUGUUAGUUUAUCAUACAUAUUACAUUAUUUUGAUUAAGUAUAAAAGAAGGUUAGCUAGAGAGUGCAUCAAUUAAAUCUUAAAAAAGAAGGGGGCUUAGACCGGGCAGGGCCAGCUCAUGGGAGGGGCCUUGUCAUGUUGGGCUAUGGGCCGACUGACGGUUUUGUUGUAUUUAAUAAUUGACACAAAUUAAUGUGCAAUCAUCCAAUUAAAAAUACCCGCAAGUGCACAAAUUUAUUGAGAUAUAGAUUAUGUAAGUACGAGGUCGAUCCCACGAGGAAUUGUCGGCUUAUUACAAGUUCUAAUUUGAGUACGUAAAGAACACUUAUUUAACACACCACAAAUGUAAGGUGUAAAUUGGAAACUAAAAAAGAGUAAAGAAAGGUAAAAGAAAUGAAACAAACAAAAAACCAAAGAUAAACACAAAUUUCACGUUCGACCUCUGUCCCCUUUUUGGCCUAUAACUUUCUAAUCGUUUGUCUGAAUUUCACCCACUUUAUAUGGUUGGAUUCAUAACAGAAAAAGGAAGAACUCAACGCAAACCAAAAGUUAAAAAUGAUGAAUAGUGAACGACCGGUUGCAUGAACAGAGUGAUCGAUCGUUUUUGGACAGAUUCAUGAGAGACUGGUCGUUGAACAGUGACGACCGGUCUUUUUUUGGCAGGUUCGUUUUCUCUGUUUUUCAGCUUCGACCUUUGUCCAGUUUUUGACCUAUAACUUUCCAACAGUUUGUCCAAAUUUCAUGUUAUUUAUACGGUUGGAUUCAGCACAGGAAAAGAAAGACUACAGGGUGGACCAAAAGUCAAAAACAAUUACGGAAACAAACAAAAUUCAGUAAAGAAGACACAUAACGUUUCAAACAACACAAACACACAACAAACUUGGAGGAUUAUUGCUUAGGAAAACAUGAGAAUACACAUAAUCCCAAUAACCUCAAGAAGCAUGCUUUCAAAGGUGAUCAAUCAAAGAAAAACAUACAUCAAGGAUAGAUUAUUUUAGUGAAUAGGAAUUCAUCAACAAUAUCUAGAAAUUCAUACACUCAAGCAUCAAAACAAUAGAGUAUUCAUGUUUAGGGCUUCAACCUAAGCCCUAGCUAAGGAGUUUAGUUCCUCAUACUUAUUUCAAACACAAAUUCAAAACAAAACUAGAAAGAGUUUACAAAUUUUGUGAAAGUGGUGGAAGCUCAAGGUCUUCAAUGGUUGAAAUCUUCUUCACUUCUUGCUUGGCUGCCCUUGUCUUCCUCUCAAGCUCCCGAAAUCUCUGCAAAAUUCAUAAUAAGGAAUAUUUUGGUUCAACGAAUGGCUGAUGCCUUUCUCCUUUGCUCAUCCUUCUUUCUCCUCCUUUACAACUCACCCAUCAAUAACAUAUUCCUUGUUUUCUUAUAUCAUGAUGGGCUCUUUGGUUCUUGUCUUCACCAAGAUGCUCUUUGUCUCAGAAAAUUGCACUCCAUCAAAGUAAUUUCUUGUUACCAAAUGGUAUGGUAACAAGAAGAAUCAAGAUGACACUAUGAAGGUAAAAACUGGCCCAAGACAAAUCUCUAGAGCUUUUGUAACAUGCUGGAUCAGUUGGAUAGGCUAUACUGGUUCAAUGGAGCUCAAAUUUAGAUAUGUUGUAGUCGACAUCCAUUGGAACAAGUUUCAUGAAGAUCUUCACCUCAUCCAAGCACCGGAGCAUGCUGACCCAAGGCCAAGAAGUUGACCUACGAAAAUGAACAAAAACAGAAUUUAUAACCAAUAAAGCAUUUUUAUCUCAUUUUCAUUUUAACCAAGGUAAAACCUAUGAAAACACAAAAAGGAAGUAAAAAGCUAUAACAUGUCAAGAACUACCUCAAAAUAAUGGGUGAAUAACAUGAUAAAUCAUGUGUAAAAAUGAACCCAACAGGUUUCAAAUCCUAAACCCAAACCCUACCCAACUUUAAAGUAGAUCGGGCCAAGUUGACUUAACCAUCGUACUGGGCCGGGCUUUGACCCAUCGAGCAUCGAACUACCCACUUUAGACCGCGGACCAAAUGUUGAUCCCUAUAUCUCUCCAAUUUGAUCUUUUUGAGCUUACUUUGUGUAAUUGCUUAAUUGUAAUUCUGCCCCCAAAAAAAUAAAUAAAUAAAUAAACCCUUCCUUGUUGUAAAAGGAUUUACAUACCAAGGCUUUCAAAUGGCUAUUGUAUUUAUAGUGAUUUUGUGGCUUGAUUUAUGAAUGCAAUCUUCCUUUUGUUUAUCAAAACUCCUCCAUCUUCUUUGAUCCUCCUACAACAAAUAAAAUCUAUAAAUAUUACUAUUAAUGGAGUGGGUUAAUGACCUAAAUGGUCCCCCAACUAUUGCUCCAUUAUCAUUUUGGUCUACCAACUAAAAUUUUCAAUUCAAACGUCCUUAAACUUUUUAUUUUGUACCAAUAUAGUCCAUCCGUGAUAGAUUCCGUCACUUCUGAUCAUGCGAUUUCCACGUGACUAAGUUUUGAAGGGUAUAUGCGACUUUUUGAGAAGCUCUAUCGAAGGGUAUGACUAAAAUGGUCCCUCAACUAUUGCUCCAGUAUCAUUUUGGUCCAUCAACUAAAAUUUUCAUUUGAACCGUCCUUCCACUUUUUUUUUUUUUUGUAUCAAGAUGGUCCUACCAUCAAAGUCCGUCAAUUUUAUUGUUAUUUAUUUUUGUAUUUAUCUUAUUUUAAAAUUUUAAUUAAUUUAAACAAUAGAGAAAAAAAAUAUUACUUUUUAAGUCCAUGUCAUAAAAAAAAAAAAAAAAAGCCAUGUUGGUGGUGAGAUUCAAUUUUUUCAAUUUUAAAAUUAAUUAGGUACAAGUUCCUAUAAUAGUUUCCUUUAAUUUUUAAUUAUUGUUUGCUCUUUUAAAAAAUUUGUUAUUUUAUAUAUAUAUAUAUGUGAUUUUAAUUAAUUUAAACAAUAGAGAAUUUUUUAUUAUUAAUUGUUAGGUCAGUCUCACAAAAAAAUAAAGCCAUUUGGCUAGUGAGAUUCAAUUUUUAAAAUUUUCUAAGUUUAUAAUAGUUUCCUUUAAUUUUUAAUUAUAUAUUACUAUUAAUUCAUAGAGACAUUUUUACUCCUCAAUUUAACAAUAAAAUUGACAGACUUUAACAAUAAGACCAUCUUGAUACAAAAAUAAAAAAGAGUUGAAAGACGGUUCAAAUGAAAAUUUUAAUUGGUGGACCAAAAUGAUACUGGAGCAAUAGUUGGGGGACCAUUGGGAUCAAUAACCCUUUUAGAGGAAGAUACUCACCUAAAAAUACGGUUUUGUCCCUCGAUUUCACGGAAUAAUACACAGACUUUGACGGAUGGACCAUCUUGGUACAAAAUAAAAAGUUUAAGGACGUUCGAAUUGAAAAUUUUAGUUGAUGGACCAAAAUGAUAAUGGAGCAAUAGUUAGGGGACCAUUUAGGUCAUUAACCCUAAUAGAGUAGAAAUUAGGUUUUCUCCCUCGGCACUUUUUUUUUUCCUCAGGACCAUUUUUGUUGUUGUCUAAGCUUGUUUUUUUGGCCUCCAACGAACAAAAUUAUCCUCUUGGGAUCCGGAUCCAUUAUGUGGAUACGUCAAAUUAUGUACAUUCAUAUUCGUAAAAUACCACCAUUAAUAAAAUCUAAUCCAUUUUAAGCUCAUUUAUGAAUCCCAUUUUUAGUAAACCAUCGGAGCACUUUACGUGACUUGAUGAAGUCUGUGAACUUAACUUUGGUAAAACGACACCUGUAUCUUUAUUACCUCUUUCAAGUUUUUACUACUUGUCCUUUGGUUGAUCUCAAUCCUUUUUCUUGAUUUUGUUGCCGUCAAUGGCAUCCACCUCUCCCUAUGUUUGCAAACUUUUUUAUUUUCAUGUGUGUGCUCACUUUAGAAAGUCUGUAAUAUCUCAGUGUCAGACAUGAAAGCUAUACACAAAGGAAAAUAUGCAGCAGACAAUGAAAUUGAUAGAAUUUACAUAAGAAGGGAAAUAUUGUUUUAUUAAAGGGUUUAAGAGAAAGCUAGCUUUGACCAGAAAAAAGAAAAGGAGAGAGAGAAAGCAAGCUUUUCUGGUCAUUUUGCUGGCAUUACAAAUCUUUCAGAGAAAAAGAAAGUUGAAGAGACAUGGGAUGUGGAGUGUCUAAUACACAUGUUUCUGUAUAUUAUUUAAGUUUUGGACUGCAAUGCACUGCAUGUCCAACUUAAAACCCACGCAGCACAGUACUCUACCAUUACCUAAGUCAAGUGUGCUUUGACGAAUACUAGACAACUCACAUGCAUGUAUAUUCAGGCCGAAAAUAAAAGGGAACGAUAUGCUCAUUUUUGUCUUGCAGGGAAAAGAGGAAGCCAUAAUGAUGCGGAUCUUAUCUAGAGUUGUUUAUUCUAAUUCCGUUCUUAAUCGUCUCAAAUUUCUGGAUUGGAAGCGAUGCUUAGGUUGUUUUAAGUCAUUUCACCCCACCCUUUAAGCAUAUUGUGGGAACCUAAUUAAAUCAAACCCUAGGUCAAACAAUUCCUACCAUUUGGGGAUUAUUUGACCCAAUUGGGAAUUAAUCAACCUAAUUGGGAGUUACUUAAUUUAAUUGGGAAUUACCCAAUUAAAUUGAACGUUACCUAAUUAGGUUGAGAAUUGAUUUGGUUAAUUACCACGAUCCUCAAUUAAAUGAGGAGUUGCCUAAUUGAAUCAGGAUUUGAUUUGAUACCUACCACAAUUAGGGAUUUGAUUUACCCUAAUUAAUCAAAUCCCUAAUUAAUCAAAUCAAUUCCAAAAAGGGGAGGAAUAAUUCCCUUCCAUCUACGGAAUUAUUCCUCUGAAACCCUAGCCUUCGAGACUACUAUAAAAGCAUAGCCACACACCAUGGUAGGGGUACGCCUAAAUUCUUACUAAAGCUCUGCAGAAAUUAUUUCUCAAAAACCCUAGCCACCUCCUCUCUUUCUCUCUCUCACACAAGGCUCCGGCCACCACACACGGCUCCGGCCACCCGGUUUUCCUUGAAUUACCCUACCUAACUUAGGCAUCGGAGGGCCUUUGGCCAACACCCCCCGGGUGUGGUUUUUUACUCCGAUCUGUUUUGCAGGGAGAAGGAGAGGCGGAGAAGACGAUGGAAUCUUGGGCCAAUAUUCUCCUGUGAGAUUAUUUGCACAAACACAUAUGUUAUUCUUAAUCUGUCUAAAAGUUCCACUUAGUUUUUCGUAGGGCUGUUUGAUUCAUAUAGUUGUAGUUUAGAUGUUUGAGCACUUGUCUACAUGGUGUUGUACUGGUUCUGUUUGUAAUAGAAGUUGUGUAACACCUUGACCCAAUUUAAUCGUUUUGUUCAAUUUAUGUAAUUGUAAAAUUACAAUUUUGCCCUCGGGAUGUAGGGUCACUUUAGUCACUUUUUGAUCCGGAAGGAUUUUGGAAAAAUGAGUGGCACUAUUGCGUAGGGCUCGUCGAUACAAGUUUGUAGACAUGCGGCACGCCUAAUUCCGAGUUGUAACGAAUGAGAAAAAGUCUGAAAACGAAAAGGACACAAAAGGAAAUUUUAAAAUUCUACAGUAACCGGGCAGUUUUAAAAUUUAAAAUUUUUAUUUUUUCCUUCUUCUUCUUCUUCCUCCCUCUCCCUUUGGUUCGCAAGCAGCAGCCCCUUCCCUUCUGUUAUUGUUCAUCCGAACAGUUUUUGGGCUGCCAACUCCUCCUCUGGCCACCCCAAGCGACGGUAUGGGUUCCAAAACGUCAAGCUCACUUUCCUCUUCCUAUCCCGACCAUUCACUGCCAUUGGAACUGCCACCAUUCGCCUAAAAUUGCGAAAAACAUAUCGGUUUUACCCAUUACUUCACUAAGCUCAUUCGGGUGAUUUCGGCAACCAAAUUCUUCGAACUUGGUAUGUUUUCUCAUCGGCUCGAUGUGUUCUAGCUGCAGGUUGGGUUGUUUAGAAUUAAUUUCUACAUUUUGGAGGUUUUGGCCAGUUUCGGCCCCCGAUUCAGGCCAUUUCUGGUGACUUUUCGGAGUUGGUCCAAGAACAAAAGUUGCUUCACUCAAUGUCUUGAUCUUGUAGUAUAAGUCUGGACCGUCGGUUUGUAGAUUUUUCGAUUAUCAAAAAUUGCUUUAGGUACCCACGCGUUGCCGGUGCAUGGGCCACUUUGUGGCCUGUCUUUGAGUCCUAAAAUGAUCCCCAUGUCGUCCCGAGCACGAUGGUAUGCUCGGAUAUGAAUUUGGUUAUCGUUUGAUCGUCGAUCGAAUAUCGUAUAUUAGGCGUUAUCCGGGUUCGAUAUGUUCAAACCAUUGGAUCGACUUCAUUCCAAUUUAUGUUGAUUUAGGCAUUCAUAGGAUCGUGUAUGAAUUCGCAGAUCGUGAAUCGGAGCCUCGAAUGGGAUUCAAUAACUUAAAGUUUGCGUUAAACAAUAACCGUCCGAUCGUACGAUCACGAGCUAUCGGACCCUUCGAUUCGGACCAAAUUUACAGGACAUGUAUAAUAAAUCCUGUUGAACCCAUAGGAACUUUCAGAUCGGAAAUCGAAGGACGUGGGCCCCGCCGGUCCGAUUGACCAAGUUUGGGUAGUUUGACCCAUUGGUUGACUGUGAGUUUUUUGAGGUAGUUUCACCCUUCAAGGAGUACUAGAACGACCUCAUUAACAAGUCUUGACUGUUAUUUGAGUUAUGUUGACUAUGUUGGGAUUUUGAGAUUUGUUUUAUAAUAAUGUAUGAAAUUCUUGGAUUAUUAGUUUGAUAAUUGAAGUUAUGGAAGGGAUGAGUAUGAGAUACUUGAUCGAUGGGUUAUGAAAACGAGUCUUGGGUCUCGGCUAUGUUUAUUAGUAAAUAAAUGGAUGUUUGUGUUUAAGUGUACUUCGUUCUUCUAAUAUGGAAUUUCUUGCAUAAAGAAUUUUGGGUUGAAAAUUGAUUUAAUAUGGUGAAUGAGGAUAUGAGAUCUCUAAAGGUUAUCAUUUUAUCAUUAAUUAAUAUUAGAGAUUUUCUAUUUGAACCCCACACUUUUCUUAGUUCACCCCAUGUUCUAAGUUUACCCAAACUUUAAAUUUUCACAAUUUCUAAGAAAACCCCAUUAUCUUCCCAAACUACCAUUAAAUACACCCUAAGCUAAAAAAAAUAAGAAAUAAAAGAAAUUUUAUAUUUAAACCCCACAAGCUACCCUUAGAGGAGAAAGUACGUUCUUAUUUGACAGACACUUGAUUUGUUGACAAUGUUAAUUUAUAGAUUGGUAAAUUUUUUGUGCAUAAUAUGUGAUUCUUAUUUGAUUUCUACCUCCGAAUACCAUCUAGAAUUUUUAAACAUUGAAACACUAUGUACUGAAGCUUUAGGCACUUACUUUGAUAUGAGAUAAAACUGGUACUUGAGGUUGCUACACAUUGCAAUAGGAGUAGGCCAUCUGAUCGGCCAUCAAUGGAGAAUACAUUGAAGCGUUUAUCAGAGUGGAAAAGCAACAAGAAAAAUAACCCAACUAUUGAAGCAGCAAUAGCAGAAUUAUGAUUUUAGAUGCAUACUGGAAUUUGUGACAAUAAUAAUACUGUUCCUAGCAGAAGAAAAAAAAAACACAAACAAAUAUAACCUCAAAUCCGAAAUUUAAUACUUUCUAAAAAAAAAAGAACAGCUUACCAAAGCAUCAAGUAAAAAAAAUAAAAAACAAAAGCAAUCAACAAAGGAAAGAGAAUAAGAUCAUUACAGCCAAAUAAUCAGCAAGUCUUUCUAUUAGCUCCCACGCAAAUUUUUAAGAGACAUGCUCAUCAAUAUUCUCUGUCUCUGGCAAUACGAUGUAGAUGAGUUUGUAUUUUUCUAAAAGGUAUUUUUCUAAAACUUAAUAUGAAGAGUGGUGAGGUUGUGUUGGGUGUGUGUAUAGAUGUAUUGGGUUAAAUAUUAAGUUAGAUGACCUUUUUUUGUCUUUUUACACAAUAAUAAAACUUACAGCUUAAUGAUUUAAGUAUUUAAGUAUUAGGGUGAACUAAGAGAAGUGUGAGGUUUAAAUAGAAAAUCUCAUUCCAUCUCCCCGUCCUAAUAUUUCCAUUAAUACAUUGCGUCACCUCCCUGGAAUCAGAUUCGAAGCAGACCUUUGAGAAACUCUUUUCAAUAGCGAACCUGCACCACUCCACUGCUGCCUGAGCCUCAGCCAUAUGAGUCCGAGAGAAAGGGGAUAGCCUUAGCCCCAAGAUACUCACCAUUAGCGUUUCUAGCAACAAUACCAGCUCCUGCACAGCAUGAAGAAGAUUUCCCAGCUUCGUCGACAUUAAUUUUGACCAUGUCCACCUCGGGAGCAGACCAGCCCACGGGGGAGGAUAAGGGGACGGCCCUUGGAUUACCAUUGUUCACAUCAAGGAUCUCAAAAUCUUUUAUGCACAAAUACCACCUAGACUAUUACAAUAGAACGUCUGGUGAGCCUACCUAUGAAUAUUUGGACAAAUCAUGCAUCCACAGAGGUGCAGCAAAUUGCCUAAUUGCAACCUCCAUGGUUCUUCACCAUGACAAGUCCAAAACCAGAGAUGAAGCCAAUAGCCCGCCAAUUUGUAAACAACCACCCAGCUUAGUGUUAGUACCAAGUGCACCACAACGGUAACUGCAGGUAUUUAAGGAGGUGGGUGGAGGGGAAGAUCCCAGAUCGGCAGACAAAUUCUUUUCUUUUUUCAUUUUUUUAAUUAUUAUUUUAGAAAUUUUAUUAAUUUAAAUUAUACUAGUUUCUUCGCACGCACUUCUGCGUAUACGCUAGGCCUUUUUAAAAAAAUUUAAAUUUAUUUUAGAAUUAAAAAAGAUAAUGAGUAGUUGAGUUCCAUAAAAAUAUGAAUCAUUAUCUGAUUUUUCUUUUAAUUUUAAAUUUCUUUUUAAUAUGAAAAGUGUGAAUUUAUCAUAUUAUACUUAUUUAAUUAAUAAUUUCAAUUCUUAAUAUUUGUAUUAACCAAAGGUAUUUUUUGAUGAAUUAAAAAAUUAAAAAAAUUAAAAACAAGCCCACAUCUAUGAGAAAAUUUAACAGAAGCUGAGGAAGGUGGUACAUUAGCACUAAAAGUGAAGUAUUGGUGGUAAAUAGCUAAAUUUGUUUUAUUAUGCGGUAAAGCACACACCCCUAAUAGAUAGUCUAGGUGGUAUUUGUACAAAUUUCCCUUUCUAUUAAUAUUUGGGGUACAUGGUCUUGUCGUCAUGAUUUAUUUGGUUUGGUCCUCUUGGAAUAAUUUAUACUACUUUACAAAGAGGGAUGAGGGAAGAGAGAAGAGAGAGAGGGAGGAGGACUUGCCAAUGACGGAGGGGGGUUUGGUGUCGGCUCCCCAUGGAGGGAGGGAGGAUAGGGGUGAUGAGCGGUUGGGUUCUUUUGGUUUUUCUUUUUCCUGGGUCAAUUACCACAUUAGGAUUAGGCAUUUAGUUGGGUGACACAUGGUGGGCAAAUGUCGGCACGAGUUGGGUUGGUUUUGGUCCUAAUUCAUAACCCAACUCAUACAUAGCGGUUUAUGAUCUUUUGGGUACGAGACCCGCUUAUUAUUAGGUAGACCAAUCCAACUCAACUCAACUCUUUUGUGAUUGGGUUAGGCAAUUCGAUUAGGUUAACCCAAAAUUAUGUCCACUCUUAAAUCUUAGUUCCAAUCCGUACAUAGCAGUUUAUGAUUUUUUGAACCCAAGACCCACUCAUUACUACGCCAACCCUUUUAUGAUCGGGUUGAGUGAUUCAAUCGAGUUGACCUGAAAUUGGGCCCACAAUACAGAGUUAGGUUAAUAGCGCAAAGCAGGGUACUCGUUCCUUACACCCACAUCUGAUCCCCUCUACUCACGUCUGAUCCCCCUCCUCAUACAUUGGAAUAGUUUUGAUAUCGUAUUGUCAAAAUAGAAAGAAAAAAACACAGUGAACGAAAAUGUUGAGGGUUCUAAAGGAAAUGUUGAUGCUUCUAAAGGAAUGGUUGCUGCUUCUAAUAGAAAUGUUGUUGCUACCAAGGGAAAUGAUGUUCAGUUAGUUCCAAGAGACAGGUAGCUGGAUCUUAAGGAUAAGGAAAGGGGGAUGAAGGAGGUCUUGGGGCUAAGAAGAGAGUGGAAGAGUUUGACAAUCUACUUGUCUUCCCCAAUUAUUUGAAAAAUAACUAUACAAUUUAGACACUAAAUGUAUGUUUCAACCCACAUGAAAAAAUGGAAAGCAAAACCCUAGUUCUGGUUUCGUGGCAGGCAAUGUCAUUCUUUGUUGUAAUCUCUUAAAACUUGCUAGUGACAAAGAAAAUUAAGUCAAAGAAAUAAAAUGAAAAACUUCGCUUGACCCCAGAUUAUUUCAUACUUUUGGAUACUCAUAAAACGUGAUGAAAUCUGCGUACAAAAUGUCGAACAUCUCAAAGUCGGUCAUUACAUACCACUUCACAUGAACUACUUAUUCUCAUACGGUAAGGAAAUUCACAAAGCUUAUGAGGUACAGAGAAGCAUUAUGACAUGACAAAAGGCACAUGUCAUGUGCUUUCCAAUGAAGACACUGGAGGAGUUUCAGAAUUCUUCCAAGUACUAAAGUCAUUCUGAUAUCUGUCACCUUUAACGGCAUCAGCAGAAGCAAAAGAUUCAAGUUCAGCCAGUUCUUCUGGUGUCAGUUUCACAGAGAGAGCACCAAUGUUCUGGUUAAAAUUCUCAAUCUUGGUGGUUCCGGGUAUCGGACACACAUCGUUUCCUUGGUGAUGAACCCAGGCCAGUGCUAGUUGAGAUGGGGUGCACCCCUUCCUUGCUGCAAGAUCACUAACCCGCUCAAAUAUUGUUUUAUUAUGCUCUAGGUUUUCGGCUUGGAACCUGGGU